CAUAUACAGAGCCCAAAAAAUUUUAGUCUACUCGAGGCCCAAUUACAAUGUAAUACCCAGCAGACCCGUUACAUCCAAUAACCCGCUUAACCCAAUAGCCCAUUUACAAUCAAAUACCCAAUACCCCUAAACUAGUCCAGUAAACCAAGACUUAGUAGGCCCAAUUGGCCCAACUUAUUUUCAGUUUCGGGAAACCCUAGCUAGGGUUUGCAUCGCAACUCCCAAGCCAUACCAAGCGACAGAAGAACUUGCACCGCAAUCAGACCAAGAGUUACGCCCCUUCGACUCGUGUCCGUUCGUCUCGCAGCGACCCGAAUCAGUGCCGUGAUUCCCGGGCUUUAAACCAUGCCAUGGUCUACAACUGAAUCAACGCCGGUGGUCUACUUUCCUCGAUUACCUACAAAAGAAAGAAAGAAACAACAACAAACAAACAAAACAAGUAUGGAAAGAAAUAAAAGAUUUCUUCCCAAAAUGUAAUAGAAACAGUGGCUAUAAAAGCCUCCUUUGUAACCUGUAAGCGGAGGGAGAUUUUUAACGAGGAAUACAAAAGCCAAAUACAUACAGUUUCUUAAAGGUGAUAUACCUUUACCUUUUCAUUUUUUCUUCUCUAAAUACAUGCAAAUACCAUUAAAAUAAAUAAAAAGCGAAUUUACCUUUGAAAUCGCUUCGAAAAAUCGAGACUUUGGGCUUCUGACCGCCGUACAGGGAGGGGUCGGCGAUGGCGCGUGGGCACGUGAGUCCGAUGACCGGGGCUCGGCUCGAUGGAGGCCGGAGCUCGGAGGACUGCUCUCAACUCUCUUUCAGAGAGCUUUUCAAAGUUUUUUUUAAAAACUAAUAACUAAAUGAAUUUUAGGCUUAAGUUCUGAUAUAUAUAGUAGUACAAAAUGGUGUAGUUUUGGCUUAGUUCAAUAAGCACUAAAACGGCACCGUUUCAACAGGGGAUCUGCGUGUUGACCCGAUUACCCGGGGAGGAUCCGCGUGUUUUUGUAAAAUGAGUUAAUUGCCCAAUUGGUCCUCUCGCAAUUUUAAUAUUUAUAAUUUCAUUUUAUUUAUUUUUUAAUUUAGCUCUAAUGUUUUCAUUUUGUUUCAAUUUGGUCCUCACAGUACUUUAAAAUUUAAUUUGGGGAAACGGUGUCGUUUUGGGAUUAGGGCAAUUUGCCCAAUGAGUCCCUCGGUUUUAACACGCAUUCUAGAAGGCCCAAAUUUUUUUAUUAUUAUUUAAACUAGCCCUAAAACUUUAAUUUUAUUUCAUGAUAGUCCUUUUAAAAUAUUUUUUUAUAAUCUAUUAAAUACUUUGUCUAUAAAUAUUAAUUAAAAAAUAGUAUAUAUUAUUUAUUAUAUUAUUUUUACUUAUAAAUUAUAUUUAUUUAUAUAUUUUAUAUAUAUAUUAUUUUUUUAAAAAAAAUUUAUGUAUUAUUAUUAAUUGUGUAAAUUUUAAUUUUUACUAAAUAAUAGUAUAUAUAUUAUCCUUCAUUAUAUUUACAUUUUAUUACAUAUUACAUUUUAUUAUAUAUAUAUUUUUAUAUUACUUAUUAUAUGGUUUAUAUUAUUAUAUAUUUUGGUUAUAAAUUAUAUUAUACACUAAAUAUUUACUAUAUAUAUAUUAUCAUUUACAUUACUUUUAUUUCAUUAUAAAAUAUAUACUAUUUUAUCACUCAUUAGUUAUAUAUAUUUUUUAUUACUAAAUAAAUAUGUGUAAUAUUAAUAUUUAGUACAUCAUUAAGGUAUUAUACCCUAUAAUAUGAUUUAUAUAUAUUAAUCAUUUUUUUGGGGUUUUCUUUUAUUAUUUUCAUAUUAAUCUAAAAUUUAUGAAUAUCUUUAUUUGAUUUAUAUUUCAUAAGUUUAUACUUUGCUUAUUCUUUUUCAUAUUUCAUUAUUGUUUAGUAAAUUAUUUGUUAUGGUUUUUACAUAUUUGCAUGGAAGUUAAUUAUUUAUAUUAAUUUAAGGUACAUUUGCAUGAAAUGUUGUUAUAUAUAGGUGUUAUGUAAUUUAUAUUAUUAAAUUCAUUAUACUCUAUGUUGUAUUUUUGCAUGUAACAAUAAUGCAUGAACAUUUUUUAUGAUGACAUAUGCAUAAAGUGAUAAUGUAUAUUGUGUAAUUUAUGCCAUUAUUACUAUUUUCUACACUAUAUUUGCAUGAAAUGAUAAAAACAUGUAUAUUGUAAUUAGAUUUAUUUAAUUCCUUGUGAUAUACAAAACACAUCAUUAUUUUUAAAACCAAAAGAUAUAUUUCACUUAAUUCAAAAAAGAAAAAAAUAAAAGGCAAUGCAUGAUGUUUGGAAACUUCGAGAAAGGUAGUGCCCUAACUUACUGGGUUGCGACUUUUCUCGUUGAAUUCGAAUAGUCAAGCACCCUUCUAAGUGAUUUUGAGUUUUCAAAACUUAAACAAUUACUUCAAGAUUUCAAAACAUAGUGUCCUAACUUACUGGAUAUGGCAUUUUGUUGUUUCGAGAUAGAAAUUUUCGAAAGACGAGCUUAGUUUCGAAGGUUUUAAAAUGUUGCAUCCUAACUUACUGGAUGGGAUGUUUUGACUCGUUUGAAAUAAGUGAGCCUUAAUUUUCAAAAUUGAAAUAUUUUAAUUAAAAGAGGUUUACAUUUUAAAACUUUCAAAUUUCCGACAUUAAAGACACUUGAUAAUCAAUUAGGUACCAGUUUUUGGGCGUUACGAGGGUGCUAACCCUUCCUCGUACGUAACCAACUGCCGAAUCUGUUUUCUUGACUUUCGUAGACCAAAAUUAAUGUUUUAAAGCAAAACAUUUUAUAAGGUGAUCCAAUCACACCUAAAAAGAUUGGUGGCGACUCCUGUUUUCGUUUUUCUUAAAGUCGAUUCCCAUUUUCCUAAACACAAUUUUAAAAAUGGUUUCGACAGCUUGGCGACUCCACUGGGGAAUAAUAAGAGAGUCAAGCCGUGUAAUUGAUUAUCUCUUGUCUUAAUGUCAGAAAUUAAAAAUUUUAAAAUUUAAUCCUCUUUGCAUUACAUGUGUUUGUAUUAUUGCAUGUGUUGCUCUAUUUUGAUACGCAUUACAUUUACAUGACCGUUGUGGUCACACUUUUAAGUGGGAGUGAGAAACUACGCCUUCGUUAGGUUUUUGCCUCCGUGCAAGAUAGUGGAUCACUUCCGGGAUACAUCCGUACCUAUGGUUUCAUGAGAUUUUCAUCUCCGUGUAGCCAUAGGGAAAUGUAUUCCCCUAAACUGAACUUGAUUCAAAUAAGCCUAUAAUGGGUGAGGAUCGAGGAAUCUGCUGGUUCGGGUACCUUAAACUUUAGAACUAAAACCUCAUAUAGAAAAAUUGUAAGAGCUCAACUUAGUUAGAAUUAUACUUUAGAUAUUACCCUCAUAUAUCAUUCUUGAGUUUAUUAAUAUUAUGUGAUACUGACUGUUUUCUUUUUCCAUUGCAUGUCAUUUCGUAUUUAAAAGGUAUCGAUUCACGGUCAGUUUCUAAGUUAGAAAGUUUUAUUAUGAAGAACGAACUUCUUGAUAGAGUGGAGGGCAACGCUAACGUCCAUAGAUGGUCUGAGCAAACUCAGCUAGGAAAAGGGGAUAGCAUAACUGUGGGAUAUAUGUCGGAGCUGUCACACUACACUCAUAUUAGUGUCACAUAGAAUAAUCUACAGGAGCUUAAGGCGAUUUGAGAUCAGUGGGGCAAUGAGACCAAGCAAUCAUUCUACGGUAAUUACGAAGAUUUGCCCUAUUUGUUUGAUAUUCAGGUUGAUGAGCACUUGUUUCGAGCUCUCGCUCAGUUUUGGAACCCAGCAUACAAUUGUUUUACCUUUGGGGAGGUAGAUUUAAUGCCUACUGGGGAGGAGUACAUACUUUACUUCAGUGUCCUAGAUUUCAGUGUGAUAGGAUUUAUUCUCGAGCUGCUUGUGUCCCAACCUUUGGUAAGAAGCUGAUGACCAUUAUGGGGAUGAGCGAGCAGUGGAUCAUGGCUAGAAUUAAAGAAAAGGGUGAGAGUAAGUGUAUUCCGUGGGGAGCUUUGAAAGAUCUGAUCUAGACACAUCCAGACGAGGCGAAGAGGGUAGACAUUUUUGCCUUAAGCUUAUACGGAUUGAUGGUUUUCCCCAGGGCCUUGGGAUAUGUGGACGAGGCAACCACGGAUCUCUUCUAUCGACUUAGCAAACGGGUCACUCAUGUUCCUGCGAUUUUGGCGGAGACAUUCAGGUCCUUAAAUGCAUGUAGGAGGGCCAGUGCGGGCAGGUUUGUUGGUUGUGCUCAGUUACUUUUAACUUGGUUCUAUAGUCACUUUCGAUUGAUAAAUAGGGUGGUUUGUCGGGUCUUCUUCGAGGAUUACUCCCCGUUGAAGGACAUAGCAGCUUCAACUAGGAAAGUUGAUGUUCCUGAAAAAAAUUGGAUAGCGCUACUUCAGAAUCUGCAGUUAAAAGACGUAGAGUGAAGGGCUCCAUGGAUGAUUCCUGGUGAAAUUCUUUGCCGAUGCGGCAGUUUUGAUUGAGUCCAUCUGUUGGGAAUUUGGGGUGCCAUUGGUUAUGCCCCUUUGCUUGUGCUGAGGCAACAUGGAUUUAGACAGUUCAUACCGGCAACUUACAGUUUGGUUCAGAGAGUUCAUGUAUAGAGGAGCUGACUACAAGAGGAAGGUCAGUGAGAUCUCUAGUGCUUGGAACAUGACUUGUCGAUUAAAUGGAGUAGUUAUUAGCCCUGCUACGACUUCGGAGUACGUCGAGUGCAGAGGUAGAAGGAUUAAUAAUAACAUCCUUAAGCCAAAUGUGGAAGAAGCUGGACUGAUAGAGGAAUAUUUGCAAGUGACGCCCUCGGAGUUAGAAAUUAUGAAGUAAGAGUUCAAGAGAAAGAACUUGGAGUUCGAGAAAAGGAUAGCAAAGCUCGAAGAAAAAAGAUAUAUUUGAUCCUAGACGUCGACGUUCAAAAGAUGGAGGUCGAGAAAGAGAGGAAAGAAAAAAGGAAGAUCGAGGAGGACCGAGAUUAUUUAAAGGAGCACUAUAAAAGGGCACAAAUAACUUUGAAAAGAACAGGAUUAGGAAGGUUUUCAGAUCAGGGGCAGAAAGAGGUCCAAGAGGAAAAAGCUAAAGCCGAAUAUUGGGAGAAGAAGUUCCAAGAGAUGCAAUCACGGAAUUUGACCUUAGAAAAAGAAAAUCAAGGUUUAAAGACUAAAGUAACUGAGCUCGGGCGUUCCCUUCAUCUGCAUCGAAGUCGUGAUUCUACGGUUGAGGUAAAAAAAUUAAAAGGCAAAGUUGAGGAGUUGGAAUCAGCAUUGUAGGAUAGUAAGCUCCUAAUCGAGCAGCUUGGGUACGAGAAGAUCAUUUGAAGGGAGAGCUUCAUCAGUCUAGAGGACAGGUCAGAGAAAGGGAUCACGUCAUUGGAGAAGCCGUAGCCCAGAUUCGAGAGGUCGCUGAACAGGUGCAAGACUUGGCAAUACGAGUUGAUGUAUUGAGUUUGAUGUAUGAGUCAUCGUCGGAUAUAGGACGAGAGUUAGCCCUUUUAUUAGAUAGAGUUAAAAUUUUGGGCAUUAGGGCGAAAGCGUAUUUGUAAUCCUCUUAUAUGUAAAGAUAUUCUUUUUCUAAAUAAAGUUUUCUAAAUGAGAUUGAAUCAGAAUCGAUGUCCUUUUGGCAUUCAUGCAUUUACAUCACAUAGCAUUUCAUCGCAUCAUUUGCAUUCAAAGUUAUAGAAAAACCCUAAUUAGUUAAAAUUACCAUAGAAGUAGAAAAGAAAAUCUGGAAACCACGCAUCAGUACGGAACUCGUGCAAAAUCUAAGAAUAUGGAUCAAAGGUUUGAACAGCUACAAAAGGACAUGCAGGACCAAUUGCAAGAGCAAUUGGCAAAAAUACAAAACGACAUGAUGGAGCAAAUGCUAGAGGUUUAGAGGAAUAUGAUGACUGAGAUGGCUCAGUUGCUGAGGGCCACUAAUAAGGGAAAAGCCCCUAUGGCAAUCACUGGUGAGGAGGAAGAGGAUAAUCCUCCAGGCUUUACUCUACCCCACGGGCCUACAGAAACCGAGGCACUUCCUAGGAGGCCGUCUGUCACUAUAAGGCCUCAACAUGGACUGGUUGAUGCUGGGAUCCACAUGAAUAACCCAACUGGUUCAGGAUUUAAUUUGGGUGACAACCCUACCGAUCCUCUCAUUCCUGACUUGGACGUGACUGAAAAGGAAGAUUUGAGAGCCAAAGCUGCAAAACAGUUGGAGGAACUUUGUUGAUGGUUGGAGGAGAAAUUUAAGGCUCUAGAGAGUGUUGAUGGGCAUCAUGGAGUUGAUGCCAAAGACUUGAGUUUGGUCCCAAACCUAGUGCUUCCCCAUAAAUUCAAAAUGCCGGAGUUUGAAAAGUACAACGGGACUACUUGGCCAGAGGCCCACAUUACGAUGUUCUGUAGGAGGAUGACCGGAUAUGUGAACAAUAAUCAACUGUUGAUUCAUUGUUUCCAAGAUAGCUUAGUGGGAGCAGCAGCCAGGUGGUACAAUCAGUUGAGCCGGGCCAGAAUAAAUUCAUGGAGGGAUCUUGCACAAGCCUUCAUACAACAGUACAAUCAUGUGACAUACAUGACGCCGGAUAGGAUCACGUUGCAAAACAUAGAGAAAAAGCCUAAUGAGAAUUUUAGGCAAUAUGCUCAAAGAUGGAGAGAGGUUGCCAUGCAAGUUCAACCACCAUUGUUGGAGAAAGAGAUCACCAUGUUGUUCAUCAACACUCUGAAGGCUCCAUUCAUUACUCACAUGAUUGGAAGCACUACCAAAAGUUUUGCGGACAUAGUCAUGGCGGGAGAGAUGAUUGAGAAUGCCAUAAAAAGUGGCAAAAUUGAGGGGGAAGCGGCCAAAAGAUCGGCCCCAAGGUGAAAAGACAAUGAGGUGAACAACACAAGUAGCUUCAACUCGAAGGCAGUCAUAGUUGGUCAACCCAAAGUAGCUGCGGUUGGGCAACAGGGUUCUCAAAGGUAGGAAUCGGGCACAAGGCACAAGAGGAUGCAAUUCACACCUAUCCCUGUGAUGUAUCGUGAGCUUUAUCAAAGCUUAUACGAUGCACAUGCUAUUGCUUCUUUCCACUUGAAACCAUUACAGCCUCCAUAUCCUAAAUGGUAUGAUGCAAAUGCCAGAUGCAAGUACCACGCUGGAAUAUCGGGGCACUCAAUUGAAAAUUGUACCGGAUUCAAGAAGGUCGUGGAGAGGUUGAUUAAAAUGGGGGUUGUGAAAUUUGAUAGUACCCCAAAUACUGAAAACCCUUUGCCAAAUCAUGACGAUUAAUGAGUGAAUGCCAUUGGCGAAGCUAGUGAGAGAAGGAUGAAGGAAAAUGUUGCUGAGGUGAGGAUGCCUAUUAAAGUGAUUUGGGAGGAGAUGAUGAAGAGAGGGAUGAUAACCUCUAGGAGAGAAAGAGAAAAAACGGGGAACUACUGUGAGUUCCAUAGAGAAGAGGGUCAUGAGACCCAAAAUUGUGAAGAAUUCAGAGCCUUGGUGCCAGGCUUUAUAGAUAAUAAAGAGCUACAAAUUUUUGAAGGUAGCUCUUAUAAAAGGGAAAUAAGUGUGCUGGAGGAUGAACAAAAAGGAACCGGCCGGCCAAGGAUUAUUAUCUCCCUGCCAGGGAAUAACGAAGUGGGGACACUAGUAGUGCCCAAGGUCAUUAUCCAUAAGCCUACUCCUUUCCCUUACAAGGAUAGCAAGAGAGUACCAUGGAGUUAUGACUGUAGUGUGACAGUGCUGGAGGAAAAAAAUAUAGCCAGCGCAUCUAAAGACGUGCAAGUUGAAGGUUUUCACACGUGGAGUGGGAAACGUUAUGUUACGGGGGGCGUCAGAGAGGAGCCCAUAAAAACAAAGAAUGCUAGUAUGGAAAAGGAAAAAGAAGCUGAAGUGCUUGUCAAUGAGCCAGUAAAGGAGGAGGAGGCUAAGGAAUUUCUAAAGUUCCUUAAGCAUAGCGAGUAUAGCGUGGUCGAGCAGUUGCGUAAGCAGCCGGCUCGCAUAUCAGUAUUGGCUCUACUUUUGAGUUCUGAAGUGUACAGGGAUACAUUAAUGAAGGUGCUCAACGAAACAUAUGUCACCCAUGACAUAUUUGUUAACAAGCUGGACCGAUUGGUAAAUAACAUAAGUGCGGAUAAUUUUAUCUACUUUAAUGACGAUGAAAUCCCACCGGGAGGCAAGGGGUCAACUAAGGCCUUGCACAUCACAACUCGAUGCAAGGGGUACACACUCCCAAGCGUGCUUGUUGAUAAUAGAUCGGCCUUGAAUGUUCUACCGUUAUCUACAUUAAAUAGAUUACCCAUUGACGAUUCUCACAUGAAAACAUGUCAAAAUGUGGUAAGAGCCUUUGACGGUACAGAAAGGAAUGUGAUGGGAAGGAUUGACAUCCCCUUGGAAAUCGGGCUGAAUAUAUAUGAAGUAGACUUUUUGGUGAUGGAUAUCAAGCCUUCCUACAAUUACUUAUUAGGAAGACCAUGGAUACACUCAGCGGGAGCGGUGCCCUCAUCGUUGCACCAGAAAUUAAAGUUAGUGACGGAUAGACGGUUAGUAACCAUCAAUGCGGAAGAGGACAUUAUAGCCGCAGUCACUAGCAAAGCCCCUUAUGUCGAGACGAACGAAGAGUCUAUUGAGUGUUCCUUUCGCUCUUUAGAAUUUGUGAAUGCGACUUUCAUUUCUGAAGGAGGCGAGCUACUGAUGCCAAUGAUAGCAAGAGCUACGAGGAUGGCUCUAUAAAUGAUGGCGGGAAAUGGAGCCUUACCAAGGAGAGGGUUAGGAAAGUACCUGUAAGGAGGGACUCAAAUCUCAGAACUUAAAGAGAAGAGAGAUCACUUUGGCCUGGGCUUCAAACCGGACUAUAAGCAAAGGAGGAAGGAAGUUGAGAAGCGCCAAGAGGGAAGAAGGGCACGCCUUAACAGAAGAGAAGUGGAGUGAGAGCCGAUGACAUUCCCUCCAAUAUCCCAAACCUUCAUAUCGAGAGGGUUACUCAUAGAAGGAAGUCGUCAGAUUAAUGCUAUAUACGACGAAAGAUUGAAGCAAGAAAACCCUGAGGGCAUUCAUCCUUAUGAACUGGGAAGCUCUCUGAACAAUUGGACUACGGAGGAACUUCUUGUAGUCUUUAGGAAUUUUUCAGAGUAAUUUUUGAAACAUUCUUGUUACUCUAAGAGCCUAGGAGUAAUAGGAUUACAUUUGUGAAAUAGGCUUACGUUCAUCUAUUAUUAUAAAACAUAUCUUUUAUCAAUUUGAACGAGUAUUGUUUCAUUUUUAUCAACCAAUAUUCCUUUAACCUUUUGCAAUUCUUAUUAUUUCAUUCAUAGCACAUAAAUAAUCAUUCUUAAAUUCAUUCAUUCUUUGUAUAUUCUUUAUACUUCACAGGUCCCUAGAUAUCAAAGACAUGAGUAUUGAUAUUACAAAUCCUGAUUUCUCUCGCGAGCAAGACAUGUGUUUAGAAGAAUCUCAGGAUUUUGAAGAUGUCCAGGAUUGUGAUGUGUCUCCAGAUCUGUUGAGAAUGGUAAGACAGGAGGAGAAACAAAUUAUGCCCUAUGAAAAAGAGGCAAUAGAGAAUGUAGCCCUUGAGGAAGGGAAUGAGGUGAAAAUUGGGACACUUAUUGCCAAGGACACAAGGCAAGGAUUGAUCGAGUUGCUACGUGAAUUCAAGGAUAUCUUCGCAUGGUCCUAUCAAGAUAUGCCAAGGUUAAAUACCGAUAUUGUGGUGCAUCGUCUUCCAAUAAGAUAGGAUUGUAAGCCAGUCCAACAGAAGUUGCGGAGAAUGAGGCCAGAUAUUAUUCUGAAAAUAAAGGACGAAGUUAAAAAGCAAUUCGAUGCGGGUUUCUUAUAAGAGAUAAAGUACUUAGAAUGGGUAGCUAACAUUGUGCCUGUUCCUAAGAAAGAUGGGAAGGUAUGAAUGUGCGUUGAUUACAAAGAUCUGAACAAAGCUAGCCCAAAGGACAAUUUUCCUUUGCCACACAUCGACACUUUAGUAGACAACACGGCAGGAUAUUCGUUGUUCUCUUUCAUGGAUAGUUUCUCGGGGUACAAUCAGAUAAAGAUGCAUCUAGAGGACAUGGAUAAAACUACCUUCACAACCUUGUGGGGUACCUUUUGCUACAAAGUGAUGCCGUUUGGGUUGAAGAAUGCGGGGGCAACAUACCAACGGGCCAUGGUGAACUUGUUCCACGACAUGAUGCAUAAGGAUAUUGAGGUGUAUGUUGAUGAUAUGAUUGCCAAGUCGCGUUCAGAAAAAGAGCACAUUGAGGUAUUGAGAAGAUUUUUCUUGAGAUUGAAAAAGUUUCAGUUGAAGCUCAAUCCAGCAAAGUGUACCUUUGGAGCUAGAUCGGGAAAGUUAUUAGGUUUCGUAGUCAGUGAAAAGGGAAUUGAAGUUGACUCAGAUAAGGUCAGAGCCAUACGAGAAUUACCUCCACCACAAACUCAGAAAGAAGUUCGAGGAUUUUUAGGAAGACUGAAUUACAUUGCUCGGUUUAUUUCACAACUAACUAAGAAGUGUGAUCCCAUCUUUCGUCUCCUUAGAAAGCACAAUCAAGGUACUUGGGAUGAAGAAUGCCAGAAUGCUUUUGAAAAGGUCAAACAGUGCUUGUUGAAUGCUCCGGUAUUAUCUCCGCCCAGUCCAGAUAGACCACUAAUACUGUACUUAUCAGUAUUCAGCAAUUCCAUGGGAUGUGUGCUUGGCCAACAUGAUGAGUCAGGAAGAAAGGAGAACGCGAUAUAUUACCUCAGUAAGAAAUUCACCGAAUGUGAAAUGAGAUACUCGCCUAUCGAAAAAUUGUGUUGCGCUCUGAUUUGGACAACUCGGAGGUUAAGACAGUACAUGCUAUAUCAUACUACUUGGCUUAUUUCAAAACUUGAUCCUUUGAAAUAUACGAUGGAGUCAACAGCGUUGAAUGGGAGAAUGGAGAGAUGACAAAUACUACUUUCAGAAUUUGACAUAGUCUAUGUGAGUCAAAAGGCUAUAAAAGGAAGCGCGAUAGCAAAAUUCCUCGCUAGCAAAGCUCUAGAAGAUUACGAGCCGUUGAGUUUUGAUUUUUCAAAUGAGGAGUUGAUGUGUGUAGCAACUAUAGAAGAUUAUCCUUGGAAGUUGAGCUUUGAUGGGGCAUCCAAUGCUGUGGGAAAUGAAAUUGGGGCAGUCCUGGAAUCCCCGAAUAGCGAUUAUUAUUUAUUCACAUGCAAGUUAGAUUUUGAUUGCACAAACAAUAUGGCCGAGUAUGAAGCAUGCAUCAUGGGACCCCGAGCAGCAAUAGCGCGGGGAAUAAGAACCUUAGAAGUAUAUGGAGACUCUGCGUUGGUAAUUUAUCAGCUUAGAGGUGAAUGGGAGACAAGGGAUCCUAAAUUGAUCAAUUAUCGAAAGAUAGUUUUGGGGUUACUUGAGGAGUUCAAUGACAUCACUUUCAAUUAUAUCCUGCGAGACGAAAACCAGAUGGAGGAUGUUCUAGCAACCUUGGCUUCAAUGAUUAGAGCUAAUAAAGAGGAGGAGAUGAGACCCAUUCAGAUGAGUAUCUUUGAGGCUCCAACUCACUGUUGUAACAUUGAGGAAGAAUAAAAGGAUGAUAACCCUUGGUAUCAGGAUAUAUUGCGAUAUGUGAGAGAUCGUAAAUACCCAGAACAAGCAAGUGAAAAUGAUAAACGAACUUAAGGAGAUUAGCUUGCAAUUAUGUUUUGGACGGGGACAUCUUGUACAAAAGAAAAAAUGACCAAAUACUGUUAAGAUGUGUUGACGCCGUGGAAGCUAAGUUAAUAUUGGAAGAAGUUCACGAGGGUGUUUGUGGGACGCACGCUAACGGUUUCACGAUGGCUAGACAAAUCAUGAGGUUUGGAUAUUAUUGGUAUACUAUGGAAAGAGAUUGUAUCAAUUAUGCUAAGAAAUUCCAUAAAUGUCAGAUUUAUGGAGACAAGAUUCAUGUACCACCUUCACCUCUACAUAUUAUGACUUCUCCAUGACAUUUUUCUAUGUGGGGCAUGGAUGUCAUCGGGCCAAUAUCACCAAAAGCUUCAAAUGGACAUCGCUUUAUUUUCGUGGUCAUUGAUUACUUCACAAAGUGGGUAGAGACUGCUUCUUAUGCGGAAAUAGAUGGGAAGAGUUUGCCCAAUCCAGUGAAUUCAGACUCAGUCAAAAAAUACUUUGUCUAAAAGAGAGAAGAAUUCAGGGUGAAAACCUGCAAAGGGCGCCUUGAGUUUCAAAAAAAAAAUAGAGAGGCCAAGGUGAAAACCCGCAAAGGGUGCCUUAUGACCAAAGGGGUUUUGAGUUGAAAACCCGAAAGGGCAGCUCAAAUUUUAAAGAGCACAUGGUAAUCUUGCUAUAUCUAAUUCAACGAAGAGUGAAGCGCGUUGCAUAUCGGGGCAUCAACAAAGUACUUUGGAUCUUUUAAACACAUGUUGAAUUCAAGAAAGGCUUCAUAGAGCUGGUGUAUAGACGUUCAAGCAGCGAUAUCUACGACAUCUAACUUUUGUCCUGUUUGCUAUCUUUAGAUUCUAUUUCUUCUCAAAGAUAGGCUUCAGAUUAAUUUCCCUUGUAUUUUUGACAAAUUCAUUCGAAUCUAAUUAUUCUCAAGAUUAAUUCAUCUUCCAUUAUUCUUAAAGUAUGUUACAUUGAAAUAGUGAUAGAUGAACUAAAUAAUUUUCACAAAUGAAGUUUUGCGCAUUACUUUGGAAAUUUCUAGAUGAUACAAGAAACUAAAACAGGACAAUUGUUCAAGAAAUUCACGUAAGUGAGGGUUGAAAGAACUUGAGGAAUUUCUUUCUUCCAGUCCGAAAUGAUGAUUGGACAAAUCAAACAAUUCGAUUUUAAGAAAAUAUCAUAUUACAGAUAUUCUCAGUGGGUCGUAGCAUUUGAAGAAUGAUACAAGGCUACAGGCUGAGCAGGAAUAAUACUUUGAGAGAAGUAAAGAUAAACGAAGGAAUGAGUGGUGACGUUUGGAAUAGAAGUUAUAUUCAUAACAUUUUGAAUCACAACAUGUCUAAUUAGGAGCAUUUGACUCACUUCGAUUAUAGCAUCCUGAUCAUCAGGCAUGAGCACAUAUACAUUCUACAGGUUAUGUAGAUCAAAGAUGAUGCACCUUAACCCCCUAAGUAGUAGGGUAACAGACCAAAGCAUAGUAGAUCUGGCCUUCACGUGUUUACACUGAAGCAGAUCCAAGAUAACAAGAUUUGGCUUCUCUAUUUUCGACGGAGAGCAAAUCGAAGACAUAGAUAUAUCUGACUUUUGGAUGUUCUCACAUCAAAGCAGAUCCAAGAUAACAGAUCUGGCAUCUCCAUAUUCAAACGGAGAGUAGAUACAUAGUAGAUCUAACCUUCAGAUGUUUUUAUUGAAGCAGAUCCAAGAUGAUUUGGCAUUCUUGUGUUUACAAGGAGAAAAUCUAAGACAUAACAGAUCUAACUUUCAGAUGUUUUCACGUCAAAGCAGAUCCAAGAUAACAGAUCUGGCGUCUCCAUAUUCGACGGAGAGCAGACACAUAGCAGAUCUAACCUUCAGAUGUUUAUACUAAAGCUGAUCCAAGAUGAUUUGGCAUUCUUGUGUUUACAAGGAACAAAUCGAAGACAUAGCAGAUUUGGCUUUCACGUGUUUAUGCUGAAGCAAAUCUAAGAUGAUUUGGCAUCUCUGUAUUGUCAGGGAACAAACCGAAAAAGCAGAUUUGGCGUCUCUGUGUUCGACGAAGAGCAGAUCAAAGAUAUCAACAUGACAGUCAUGAGUUUGCAAGGAGCAGAUUGAGGAACCAUGAUCUGAUAAGGCCGGCAAAUUUGGUCUUUCUAUAAGUCUUUGCUCUAUUCCUAUUACACAACAAUGAGCAAAGAGGGGCAGCUGUAAUAACCUAAAUUUGCCCGAGUCUUAAACAAUAAAAAAAUAAACAAAUGUUUACUAUUUUAAAUAGUCCAUAUACAGAUCCCAAAAAAUUAAUCUACCCGAGGCCCAAUUACAAUGUAAUACCCAGCAGACUCGUUACACCCAAUAACCCGCUUAACCCAGUAGCCCAUUUACAAUCAAGUACCCAAUACCCCUGAACUAGUCCAGUAAACCAAGACUUAGUAGGCCCAAUUGGCCCAACUUAUUUUCAGUUUCGGAAAACCCUAGCUAGGGUUUGCACCGCAACUCCCAAGCCGUAACACCCCCUACCCGUAUUUAUUGUAGGAAUAGGUACGAGGCAUUACCGGAGUUUGCUGAAUAUUUUCAGAUAAUUCUGAGUCAUUUAUUAUUCAUAUUUUGAAAAUAAUCAUAACGUCUCUCUAUUGGGCCCUCGAACCCCUAAACAUAUAUUAAAAACCAACCAGAAUUAAAUCGAGAUCAUAAAAAAAAUUUCGCAAAAUCUUAAAUUUUAUUUUCAUCUAAGUACUUACCAUUUCAAUACUUCUUAUAAUUAAACAUGUUACCAUUCAAUCAAUAGCUUGACACUAGUCUAAACGUCAAACAACAUCAUUGUUAGUAUACUUGCAUAUAUUUCAUAUAAAUUCAACAUUUAUAUACUUAUUUUCUCGACAUGUUAUACUUGAGUUUAAUAAUUGUCUUUACUUACAUAAUUUCCUUGUAUUAACAUAUCAAAGAUAAUCAUAUAUGUACAUGUCAUGAAACGUAUCAUUCUCUUACCAUUUCUUCAUAAGUAUAUAUCAAUCAUUUCAUUAUAUCAAUAUUUUAUGCACCAUCAUUUCCAUAUAUUUUAUGUAUAUUUAUUCCGAUAAAGUUUAUAUCAAACUUAACAUAAAUUAUAUUCCAUGUACUUAUUCUUAUUUUGUUUAUCUAUCUUCAUAAUUAUUUCAUACAAUUAUUUUGUAUAUAUAUUUCCAUAUGACCAGUUCUUGUAAACAUUUCACACAACUAUUUCAUAUAACCAUUCGUCAUCUGAUACAUAUUACCUGAAUAUCAAUUGUUCAAUAGAUGUCAUCGCGUCUCCCAUCCACGGUCUUAUUUAUCUUUGACAUGAUGCCAUAGUGUCUUUCAAUAUGAUCUUACUCAUUUUCUGUCAUGUUGCCAUGGUAUUUUUCAACCAUGGUCUUACACAUUUCAUGUCACGCUGCCAUGGUAUCUUUCAACCAUGGUCUUAUUCAUUUCCCGUCAUGUUGCCAUGGUAUCUUUCAACCAUGGUCUUAUUCAUUUCAUAUCAGGUUGCCAUGGUAUCUUUCAACCAUGGUCUUACACAUUUCAUAUCAGGUUGCCAUGGUAUCUUUCAACCAUGGUCUUACACAUUUCAUAUUAGAGAGCACACUCCCGCAAACCUCAUCCUUACAGUGGGAUUACCAGUCCAGGCUAAAUCCCCUGCAACAACAAUUACUCUAAUGAGCUUGGAUCUGAAUUACCAGUCCAGGCUAAAUUCAGACCCUAAUUUGGAUUACCCGUUCGGGCUAAAUCCAUUUACACGUAUUCUUCGGGAGGGCUAUAUCAGGAUAAGAUCACCCGUCCCGGCUAGAUCCUUUUUACCGUCAAUUCUUUUUCAGAGAUCCAUCGAAAUUUCUUUUUAUUCAACCGGGAUUUCUUCCCCUUUUUAUCAAAUAUAUCCAUGUUCCAUCAAUUUUCAUACAAUGAACAUUCAAAUUAUUUUCACAUCAAUAACAUACAUUUCAAGCAUUUAAGAAUAUAAUUCAAGUUACACGAACUUACCUCAUUGCUUGUUUGUGUUUAUAAUUUCAUUAAUUCGGUAUCUUUUCUUUUCUACGAUCAAGUCUCAUAUUUGAGUCGUCCGGAUCUUUAUAAAUAAAUUUGAUCAUCAUUUUCAUUCAUUUCAUAUUCUAAUGCAUUUAAUUAAUGCUUUAGGCAAAAUUACCAUUUUGCCCCUAAACUUUUAAUUAAUGACGAUUUCAUCCUUAGGGUCAGGGAAAAUAAAAUUCUUGCAAUUUAAUCCUUAUUUCCAACUAUUAUUCUCAUAUGUAUUGAUAACAGUUUAUGAAUUCUAUAAAAUAUCAGAAUUUUUCCAUAAUUUCAAUACUUUUCAAUUUAAUCCCUAAAACAUGUUUUCCCCUAAUCUUGAACUAAAUUAAUAAUUUCAUUCAAUUUUGUAAUUUAAAUAAUAAAAUAAUCCAUUUAAUGCAAUUUGGUCAUUUCUGAAAUUUUUACAAAAUUGCCCAUAAAUUUUUAAUUUUAUUCAAUUUAGUCCCUGAGCCUAAAAAAUACAAAUUAGCCAUGCUAGAUGAAUAUUCAUACAUAUUUUUCCUCCUCCUCCUCUCCAUUGCACAUCCUUAAUGUAGAUAACACACUUGUAAGUAACAUUAUCCAUAAUUUUUAUUAUUUACUUUUAUGAAUAUUCAAGUUGUCUAUCUGCAUCAUAGUCACUAAAUUAUUUAUAUCUGGAGCUAUAGAACUCCAAAUUAAGAUCUGCUAAUUUUCCAUGAAACUAGACUCAUAUAUUUUCUUACCAAAAAAAUUUAAGAAUUUUUAGUUUAGCCAAUAAGUACAUUUUAUUCUUUAAAGUUACCCCUGUUAUGCUGUCUGACAGUUCUGGCCCUUCCUCACUAAAAAUUAAUUAUCUCCUCGUACAGAAUUUGAAUGAUGUUUUUGUUUGUUUCUAUUGAAAAUAGACUCAUUAAGGAUUAUAAAAAUAUAAAUUUAAUCCCAUAAUUAUUUAUAUCCAAUUUUUUAUGAUUUUAUAAAUUCAGAACAGGGGAACCCAAAAUCAUUCUGACCUUGUCUCACAAAAUUCAUCAUAUCUCAUGAUUUACAAUUCCAUUGCUUACAGAAUUUCUUCUAUAAGAAACUAGACUUAAUAAUAUUUAAUUUAAUAUUUUAUUCAUCCUAUAAUUAUAUUUCUACAAUUUUUGAUGAUUUUUCAAAGUUAGACUAUUACUGUUGUCCAAAACUGUUUUAGUACAAGAUAUUAAUUACCAUGUUAUAACACCCUUAUUUUCUUUUUCUACACCAUUUCUCAUCACUUUCUCUUAUUUUCUCUUCACUAACAUAUCAAGAACAUAGGACCUUAUGUAAGAAAACUCUACUAUAACAUUAUUUCCAUGCUUUGUCAAUAAUAACAAACUUAAAAACAAAAUUGAAAUCUUGAUAUACUUACCUUGUUCUAUUGAUACUAAUCUUUAACUUGAUUUUCUCUCUCCUCCAGCUUCUAUUUCUUGAAUCCAACUUGAUAUUCUAACUCCCCAUGGUCUCCUUAACAUUUUUCUCUCUUAGUAGCUAUAGAAAUUCUUUUGAUUUCUAGGUGAAACUGGUGAAUUUUUUGUGGAAGGACCAAAUUGUAAAGAAAACAAAAUUUCUUUCUUUUCCUUCUCUUCUAACGUUGGUUGCAUGGGAAAGGAAAUGUGAUGUUAAUUCUUCAUCUUUCCUUCCUUUUAUACUAAAUAAAUAAUAAUAUAAUAAUAAUAAACAUCUCAUAAAAAUAUUAAUAAAAUAAUAUUUAUCUAAUUAAUUAAUUUAAAAUAUCAUCAACAUAAUCAUUACAUUCUAGAAUUCUCUAUCUUACUAAUUGACCAUUUUGCCUUUCAUGAUCUUUUAGAAUUCCAUCCUUGAGUCAUCACUUAAUUUGGUAAAAUUGCGAUUUAGUCCCUCAUAAUUUUUCACCUAUUCAAUUUGGUCCUAAUUCAUCAAUUUUUCUUGAUUUCUAGAUCAUUCCACCCUUAAAAUAUUUUCACCAUUAUUCCUUUAACUUUUUUAUAUUUACACUUCAACCCCUUAAAUUUUAACUAUUUACUCUUUGCAACAAGACUUUUCUCAUCUUUGCAAUUUAGUCCUUUCUGAAUUAAUAUAUCAUAAUAUACUUCCCAAUAUUGACAUAACUCAAAAAUUCCCUUUUUGUCUCUUUAUUUCCUUAUUUUACUAUAUCACGGAUAAUAUUUUACUGUAAAAAUUUUCGGGGUAUUACAAAGCCAUACCAAGUGACAGAAGAACUUGCGCCGCAAUCAGACCAAGAGUCACGCCCCUUCGGCUCGUGUCCGUUCAUCUCGCAGCGACCCAAAUCAGUGCCGUGAUUCUCGGGCUUCGAACCAUGCCGUGGUCUACGGCCGAAUCAACGCCGGUGGUCUACUUUCCUCGAUUACCUGCAAAAGAAAGAAAAAAACAACAGCAAACAAACAAAACAAAUAUGGAAAGAAAUAAAAGAUUUCUUCCCAAAAUGUAAUAGAAACAGUGGCUAUAAAAGCCUCCUUUGUAACCUGUAAGCGGAGGGAGAUUUUUAACGAGGAAUACAAAAGCCAAAUACAUACAGCUUCUUAAAGGUGAUAUACCUUUACCUUUUCAUUUUUUCUUCUCUAAAUACAUGCAAAUACCAUUAAAAUAAAUAAAAAGUGAAUUUACCUUUGAAAUCACUUCGAAAAAUCGAGACUUUGGGCUUCUGACCACCGUACGGGGAGGGGUCAGCGACGGCGCGUGGGCGCGUGAGUCCGAUGAUCGGGGCUUGGCUCGACGAAAGCCGGAGCCCGGAGGACUGCUCUCAACUCUCUUUUUGAAAGCUUUUCAAAGUUUUUUUUUUAAAACUAAUAACUAAAUGAAUUUUAGGCUUAAGUUCUGAUAUAUAUAGCAGUACAAAACGGUGUCGUUUUGGCUUAGUUCAAUAAGCACUAAAACGGCACCGUUUCAACAGGGGAUCCGUGUGUUGACCCGAUUACCCGGGGAGGAUCCGCGUGUUUUUGUAAAAUGGGUUAAUUGCCCAAUUGGUCCUCUCGCAAUUUCAAUAUUUAUAAUUUCAUUUUAUUUAUUUUUUAAUUUAGCUCUAUUUUUUUCAUUUUGUUUCAAUUUGGUCCUCACAGUGCUUUAAAAUUUAAUUUGGGGAAACGGUGUCAUUUUGGGAUUAGGGCAAUUUGCCCAAUGAGUCCCUCGGUUUUAACACACAUUCUAAAAGGCCCAAAUUUUUUAUUAUUAUUUAAACUAGCCCUAAAACUUUAAUUUUAUUUCAUUAUAGUCCUUUUAAAAUAUUUUUUUAUAAUCUAUUAAAUACUUUAUGUCUAUAAAUAUUAAUUAAAAAAAUAGUAUAUAUUAUUUUAUAUAUUAUUUAUUAUAUUAUUUUUACUUAUAAAUUAUAUUUAUUUAUAUAUUUUAUAUAUAUUAUUUUAUCACUCAUUAGUUAUAUAUAUUUUUAUUACUAAAUAAAUAUGUGUAAUAUUAAUAUUUAGUACAUCAUUAAGGUAUUAUACCCUAUAAUAUGAUUUAUAUAUAUUAAUCAUUUUUUUGGGGUUUUCUUUUAUUAUUUUCAUAUUAAUCUAAAAUUUAUGAAUAUCUUUAUUUGAUUUAUAUUUCAUAAGUUUAUACUUUUCUUAUUCUUUUUCAUAUUUCGUUAUUGUUUAGUAAAUUAUUUGUUAUGGUUUUUACAUAUUUGCAUGGAAGUUAAUUAUUUAUAUUAAUUUAAGGUACAUUUGCAUGAAAUGUUGUUAUAUAUAGGUGUUAUGUAAUUUAUAUUAUUAAAUUCAUUAUACUCUAUGUUGUAUUUUUGCAUGUAACAAUAAUGCAUGAACAUCUUUUAUGAUGACAUAUGCAUAAAGUGAUAAUGUAUAUUGUGUAAUUUAUGCCAUUAUUACUAUUUUCUACACUAUAUUUGCAUGAAAUGAUAAAAACAUGUAUAUUGUAAUUAGAUUUAUUUAAUUCCUUGUGAUAUACAAAACACAUUAUUAUUUUUAAAACCAAAAGAUAUAUUUCACUUAAUUCAAAAAAGAAAAAAAUAAAAGGCAAUGCAUGAUGUUUGGAAACUUCGAAAAAGGUAGUGCCCUAACUUACUGGGUUGCGACUUUUCUCGUUGAAUUCGAAUAGUCAAGCACCCUUCUAAGUGAUUUUGAGUUUUCAAAACUUAAACAAUUACUUCAAGAUUUCAAAACAUAGUGUCCUAACUUACUGGAUAUGGCAUUUUGUUGUUUCGAGAUAGAAAUUUUCGAAAGACGAGCUUAGUUUCGAAGGUUUUAAAAUGUUGCAUCCUAACUUACUGGAUGGGAUGUUUUGACUCGUUUGAAAUAAGUGAGCCUUAAUUUUCAAAAUUGAGACAUUUUAAUUAAAAGAGGUUUACGUUUUAAAACUUUCAAAUUUCCGACAUUAAAGACACUUGAUAAUCAAUUAGGUACCAAUUUUUGGGCGUUACGAUGGUGCUAACCCUUCCUCGUACGUAACCGACUCCCGAAUCUGUUUUCUUGACUUUCGUAGGCCAAAAUUAAUGUUUUAAAGCAAAACAUUUUAUAAUGUGAUCCAAUCACACCUAAAAAGAUUGGUGGCGACUCCCAUUUUCGUUUUUCUUAAAGUCGAUUCCCAUUUUCCAAAACACGAUUUUAAAAAUGGUUUCGACACUAACAUAAGCAUGAAUGAUAUUGUCUUGAAAGUAAUUUUUAUGAGAAUUACAAAACAAAUUUUAUCAUAAUUUUAUUUUUCACAUAUAAUUUGAAACUCUAAAAACAAUAUUUAUCAAUAUAAUAAUUCAAAAAAAUGAAUUUUAAUAAUUUUAAUAAAAUUUUAUCUUUAAACAAUAAAAUAAAUACUUAAUUCUUUACAAAACAUAAACCCAAAAGUUUAAACCAUAUAAGUCUUUAAAUUUAAUGUAUGAGACCUUAAAUUUUAAAUCCUAAAUUCUAAAAUUUCAACACCAAACCAUAAAUCUUAAUUUAUGUAUAAUUAAACUUUAAAUCUUAAACGAUUGUUCCUAAAUCCUAAAAAAAAUAAAAUUAAUUAUGAGACUUGUCUAUGAUUGUAAAAGAAAUCACAAAUUGUUAGUUUAUACUUUUCCUAUAUAAAUACAUGUUAACAUAAUGUAUAGUUGAAUUAAUAUAUGCAUUUUCUAGAAAGAACACAUAUGACAGUUAUUUUUCUCUUUUAUUAUUAUUUUUGAAUAAUUUUUAUGCAAAUAAAUAUUAUAUAUUUUAAACUUAAUUUUAAUUCAAUUAUAUUAUUAACUUUGUGAUAAAAUCAUUUUUUCUUUUAUAUUUUAAUCAAUUUUCCCCACUAAAAUAUUUUAAAUAAUGAUAAUUAAUUAUUUUCUAAUAAAAAUAAUGUAAUAAAUUUAUCUCAAGACUAAUAAAUAAUUGAAUUCAAUAUAAGUUUAAAAUAUUUAAAUUUAGUUGAAGUGAAAUAUAUCUAAAAUAUAGCCUUACAAUCUCCAUAUCUUUACAAAGGCUAAACUACAACCGUUGUUAGUUUUUGUGACCGAUUAAAACCUUAUCAAUUUGUGGUUGAUGAUAUAAAAGAAAGUAAACAAAUAAGUGACUCCAAGGUGUGUUUGUAAAAAUUAAGCUAUUAAAGCAAUAGGUUAAAUAUAAAAUUAGUACCCCAACUUGUCCACUUCUCCCAAAUUGGUACCUAUGGUCUUUUUGGUCCUAGAUUGGUUCCCAAGCUUUUUUUUCCCGUUCAUUAGUUUGGUACCUAAGCAUAACUGCAUUAAGAUUUUGCUGAUGUGGUGGUGUUGGUCACUCGCGCGCCACCACAUGUCGCACUCCCAAGACCACUUUGACUUGUGUUUAAUUUGUUUUGACUGGAUUGUUUUAAAUAUUUUUCCUUUAAAUUUAUUCUUCAUCAUCGUCUUCAACAUUUUCCAUGCUACUUUCUCUUUCAUUCUCUCUGCGUCGUCUUUAACAUUUUUCAUUCAUGUCUCUUUCUCUUUUGUUUUCUCUACCAUCUCUUUCAUUUUUCCCUCUUUUGUUUACCUAUUUGUUUUUUCCUUUCACUUCUUCGUUUCCUAUCUCUCUCAUUUUUCAUCUCCUUCACUUCUCUACCAUGUCUUCUUCUACGAAUAGAAAUUCAAGUGCGCAGGAAGUGUUUUGUACUGCCAUUGUGGGUUAAGGGCUCUUGUUUGCAAUGCAAAUACUCCAAAGAAGAAAAGGAGAAAAUUCUUUGGGUGUGCAAACUUCAAAUAGGUAAAUUAGGGUUUGUGUUUUGGUCUGCCAUAAUUAGGUUUGUGAAAAAAAAGGGUUUUAAGUGUUUUGACAUUUUGUUGCAAUUUGGGUGUAAUAUAUAUAUUCUUAGAUUUUUAAUAUCCCGAUUUUUUUUGUUGAGUGUGAGAAAUAAAGACUGAGGGUUUUGAUUUUUUUUGGUGGGUUGAAGGUAACAAUGACGGGACAUAUUCAACUGCAGAAGAACAAUGAUGCACAUCCAAUGAAAUAGUGCUUCAAAAUAAGAUGUUAUUGAUAGAGAACAUGAGAUUAAGACUUGAGAACGAUAAGCUGAAUAUUGAAAAAAUGCAAAAAAUGCAAUUGAAGUAACUCGUUUAGAAGAGAAGAUAAAAUUGUACAAGGCUAAAAUGUCAAAGAACAACAAAGAAAUAGUUGCUUAUAAGUUGUUAAUUGUAUUAUGGAUGAUGUUUUUGAAUUAUCUUGUUUGUGGAUGGUAAAAUGUUGUCCAUGUAUUUGUUGUAUUAGUUGUUAAGAAUGAAUGGAUUGAAUUGAAUGGAAAAAUCUUUUUUUGUUGUUGUUGUAAAAGCAUAUGCAAAUACCAAAAUCGACAUCAACAAAAUAGAACCAUCCAUUACAAUCAUCAUAUAUAAAAGAUCAACAUAAAUUGUCCAUCAAAAUACAACCAUCAAAUUGAUCUAACAAAAUAAAACUAUCAAACUAUCCAUCGUAUGUUAACUAAUUGAACCAUCAAAUUAUCCAUCGUAUGUUAACUAAAGAAAUCAUAUUGGCAUCAACUAUCUCCAUGGCUUACGAUUAUGCUUCGGUGGAUUUUUCGACUUAACCUUUUUUGUGUUCCUACUUUCCAGAGUCCCACCAACAGUUUCAUUGUUGCUGCUUCCCUUCCUUUUGUUACUGCACUUGGUUGAAGCAGUUAUUAUGAUUUCCCCUCUCAUACUAGGUUGCAAUGUAUAAAAUGUAUAAUUAAAAAACGUGUCGCACUCCCAAAAUACAAUAAGCAUAACAAUUUAACAAUUUGUAACUUACAUUCAAAUUUUGCUACCUUGCCUUCUCAUUAGUGUAUAAUCCAAUCCCUUGCACAACUUGUUUUCCCCUACUACUUAGUCUUGUAAGUAUUUAUUGUGUUGAAGAGGUUGAAAUGGUAGGAGGAGUUGGUUGUGUUGAAGGAGCUAGUGGUGAUGAUGCAAAUGCUUUAGAUGCAACUGUGUAAUACCUCGAAAAUUACUACAGUAAAAAAGUAAGAUAUUAUCCUUGAUACAAUUAAGUAAGGAAAUAAAGUGACAAAAAGGGAAAUUUUAUUAUGUCAACAUUGGGAAGUAUAUUAUGAUAUAUUACAUUAUUAAUUCAAGAAAUGACUAAAUUGUAAAAGUGAAAAAAGUUUUGUUGCCCAAGAGUAAAUACUCAAAAUUUGAAAGGUUAGUGUAUAUAUGAAAAAGUUGAAAGACCAAUAGUGCAAAUAUUUUAGGGGUGGAAUAAUCUACAACCUAAGGAAAAUGGAUGAAUUAGGACUAAAUUGAAUAGGUGAAUAAUUAUGAGGGACUAAAUCGUAAUUUUUUCAAAUUAAGUGAUGACUCAAUGAUGGAAUUUUAAAAGAUUAUGAAGUGCAAAAUGGUCAAUUAGUAAGAGAGAGAAUUCUAGAAUGUAAUGACUAUGUUGAUGAUAUUUUAAAUUAAUUAAUUAGAUAAAUAUUAUUUUAUUAAUAUUUUAAUAAGAUAUUUAUGAUUAUUUUAUUAUUUUAUUUAGUAUAUAUAUGUGUAUGUGGAAAAAAACACACACACACACACUAGAGGUGUUCAUGGGUCGGGCUACUCGGCCCGGCCCGAAGGCUCGCUUGAAAUCUGAGAGGGUUUGGGCAAAAAUAUAGACCAGAAAAAUGGGUUUGGAAAAAAAUAAGACCCGUUUUAAAAAUGGGCCGGGCCUCGGGUAAGGUAUUUUUAGCCCUAGUCGUGGCCCGACCUGGCCCGGCCCGAAUUCACUAAAGGAAAAAAAUCUGCAUUUUUUUUUUAUUUUUGAAUGUUAUUUUCUUGUUGUUUUCUCUCUAUUUUGCUACUAUUUUAAUAUUAUGUUGCUACUAUUUUGUUGUUAUUGUUUGGAUAUUGUAUAAAACUUAUUUUAUUAUUCAUUUUGUUAUUAUUUUAAAGGCAUUUGUUAAUUUUUAUUAUUAUUAUUUUAGAGGCAUUUGCUUGUUAAGUUGCAUUUAUCUGAGUGUUAUUUAAGUCAAAUGCCAUUUAUCUGAGUGUUAUUUAAGUCUACAUAUUUUUUAAAAUUUAUUUUCAAUUUGUUGAGAAAUAUUUAUUUUGAUUUUUUAGUAUUUUUUAUGUAUUAUAUAUAUUUAAAAAUAAUAUAAAAAUUAAUAUGGGCGGACUGGGCCGGGCCUGGGUUUUAGUAUUUUUAUCCGGGUCGGGCUUAGGCAAAAUUUUAGGCCCAUUUUUAGGCCCAGCCAGACCCGAGUCCAAUAAAUGGGCAUAAUUUUUUAGUUGAGCCCAGCCUGGCCCGACCCAUGAACACCUCUAACACACACACACCAUAUAUCAUCUUUCCAUGCAUUUCACGUUAGAAAAAAGAGAAGAAAGAAAGUUUUACUUUCUUUACAAUUUAGUCCUUCUAGCAAAAAUUCACCAUUUUCACCUAGAAAUCAAAAGAAUUUUCAUAGCUAGCAAGAGAGAAAAAUGUUGAGGAGACUAAGGGGAGUUAGAAUAUCAAGUUGGAUUUAAGAAAUAGAAGCUAGAGGAGAGAGAAAAAUCAAGUUAAAGAUUGAAAUCAAUAUGACAAGGUAAGAACUUUAAGACUUCAAUAUAUUUUAAGUAGAGUUUCUCAUGUAAGGUAAUAUCAAAAGCAUGAAAAUGAUGUUAAGGUAGAGUAUUCUUAUAUAAGGUUCUAUGUUCUUGAUAUAUUAGUGAAAGGAAAUAAGAGAAAAUGAUGAGAAAUAUUGUAGAGAAUGGAAAUAAGGGUGUUAUAAACUUGGUAAUCAAUAUGUUGCACUAAAACAGUUUUGGACAACAGCAGUAGUUAAAUUUUGAAAAAUCAUAAAAAAAUUGUGAAAAUUGAAUUAGAGGUUGAAUAAAAUAUGAAAUUAAAUUUUAUUGAGUCUAGUUUUUCAUAGAAGAAACGGUCUAAGCAAUGGAAUUGUAAAUUGUGAGAUAUAAUAAAUUUUAUGAGGCAAGGUCAGAAUAAUUUCGGGUUCCUCUGUUUUGAAUUUGGAAAAUCAUAAAAAAUUGGAUAAAAAAAUUAUGGGAUUAAAUUUAUAUUUUUAAAUCCUUAAUGAGUCUAUUUUUAAUAGAAACAAACGGAAACAUCAUCCAAAUUCUGUACUAAAAGAUAAUUAAUUUUUAGUAAGGAAAGGUCGAAGCUGUUAAACAGCAGAAUAAGGGUAAGUUUGAAGAUUUUACUGUACUUAUUGGAUAAAUUAUAAAUUUUGAAAUUUUUAUGGUAAAAAAAUAUUUGAGUCUAGUUUCAGAAACAUUAAGAGGUUCUUAAUUUAGAAUUCUGUAGCUCAAGAUAUAAAUAAUUUAGUGACUAUGACUCAAGUGGACUACUUGAUAUGAACAUAUGAGAAAAUAGUGGAAUUAUAUAUACAUUAAGGAUAUGGAAUGGAGAGGAGGAGGAGGAAUAUAUAUAUAUAUAUAUAUAUAUAUAUGAAUAUUUAGUUAGCAUGAGUUACAUUAAAGUGGUUAAUUUGCAUGUUUUAGGCUUAGGGACUAAAUUGAAUAAAAGUAAAACUUUAGGGGUAAUUUUGUAAAAAUAUCAAAAAUGACCAAAUAGAGUGAAAUGAAUUAUUUUAUUGUCUAAAUUAAUAAAUUGAAUAAAAUUAUUAAUUUAGAUCAAGAUUGGUUGAAAAAUUGAGAAAAAUAGAAAAUUACCGAAAUGCCCCUGAAUCUUGGUAUUUUUGCAAUUUAGCCAGAUAAGUUCGUAAAACCUAAUUAUGUGAUAUAUGGAAAUAUGAUUUGAUGGUACAUGAAAUAUUGAUAUAAUGAAUUAACUGAUUUAUGUUUAUGAAGAAACGGUAAGAGAAUGAUAUUUAUCUUGACAUGUAAAUAUGUGAUUAUCUUUGAUACGUUGAUACAAGGAAAAUAAGUAUGUUUAGGAGGCAAUAUGUUUAAUUUUGAUUGGUCCCAAAUAUGAAUGCUAGAUGAAAUAAAAUGUCUGAUAAAUAAAUUUGUAACUCCGGUAAUGCCUCGUACCCUAUUCCGGUGAUGGAUACGGGUAGGGAGUGUUACAAACUGUUUGAGAAGAAGCUAGUGGAGCAGGAUCAGAAAGAUUUGGUGGAGCUAAUGGAGCAAGAGCAGGAGCUAGUGGAGUAGGGGUAGGUGUACUUUGAAAAUUUAACAUGUUAGGAGUUCUCAAAUUAGCCAACAAUUGCAUUAAAAUUCUUAGUCAUCAAAACACUUACAGCAUAUGAAGUUUGACAACUUUUGGAGUUAUGUCAAACCAUAGAACACUUAUGGCACUUUAUCUUCCUUCCUCUUCUAAACAAUUUACUCCCAUUCUUCCCUCCCAUUGGUCUUACUUUAUUCUUUUUUGGUCUCCCAAGCAUUUUCUUUGGAAUUGGGGGGGUCAAUUGGUCCCAUGUCGAUUUUCAACCAAAAUUUCUCACUUGGGAUAGCAUGCAAUACAAAGCCAUACAAAUUUUCAAACAUAUCUUUUUUAAACCCUUUAUAGACAAAAUCAAAAAUAUCAACUUUUUUCCACAAAAUGGCUGCAACAACAUGUGGACAUGGGAUGCCAACAACUACAUGACCACUGAAAUAAGUCAACAACUACAACAUCACCAAAAUUUGCCACUUCAAACCCUUCUACUCCAUUCCAUUUAACAUGACAGUAUGAACUCAUUUGGAUACUCUUGUGUAACUUCUCACAUAUCUUAUAAUAGAAUUGAUUAUUCCAAUUUUUAUAUUUGGCCAAAUUGUGUACAAUCUUCCUUAUUACAUACUGCCUAAUUUCUUCUUACAUGGAAAUGAUAUACAUUGACCUAGCUCCAAAAUUGUUGCAUUAAAGGACCCGGUAAAAUUGUUUUUAGUUGCAUCACAUAUAGUCCUACUAGGAAAAAAAAGGCUUUGACCAUUGCUUAGGAUCAAUCCUAAGUAGACUUACCUUGGCACUAUGUUUGAUACGGCCAAUCUUUUCGAUAUGAUCUUCAAAGUUAGCAGUUAUGUAUGAUUUGCAUGCUCCUUAAAAUACUUGUUGCAUGUCUCCUCAAAGAUUUUCUUUCCUCCAAUUGACAUAUAAAUGCCUUGCACAGACUCUAUGCUCAAACCUUAACAACAACUCAUAUAUCUCCUCCAUCAAUCCCUAAAUGCAAACAAAAACAAUGAAAUUAGAUGGACGGUUUAAUAAAUUAAGCAUGAUAGGACAGAAUUAUUUAAGUAAUGUCCCUAACAUACCUUUUGUUUAUCAGUCAUGAAUGUGAAUCUAGAAUCAUCACCAAUUUGUAAAUCUGAAAUAAGAUUUUUAAGAAACUAACACCAUGUUUCUCUACUUUCAUACUGCAUAAUUACCCAUGAAAUAGAUUAAAUUUGGUCAUUUCCAUCUCUCCUCACAGCAGAUAGAAGUUCCCCUUUGAAUCUUCUUUUCAAAAAGUAUCUACCCAAACAAAUAAAAGGUCUACAACAUUUCAAAAACCCUUUUCUCAACGUAGUAAACCCUACAUAAAAUCUCCUAAACUUGGGAACCUUAGUAGGGGUUGGUCUUUCUACCAUUACCACUAUAUUGCCAUUCGGAUAUGCCUUUCUAAAUGCAUUUGUAUAGUUUCAUAGUCUAUUAAACUCAUAGCUUACCCUUCCAUUGUUCUCUUACAGUGCCCAUCUCCUAGCCCUGCUGUAUAUACCCCUACUCAGAUCAACCUUCAACCCUUCAUUGGCUAGUUUCUACAUCUCAAUUAACUUCAACUUUGGAAUCACUCUAAUUUUACUUAAGAAAUGCUUCCCAACAAACUUCUAAGAUUCCCUUUUAUUCUUAAAAGUUAUUGAACACUCGUGGGUUUCUAUAAAGGUUUUUAUCUUGUAAAACCCAUCACUAUUAUCUACAAUAGCAUAUAUUCAAAAAGGCACCCAUCUUCCCUACACCUAGCCCUAUUCCUUCCCCUUUCAUUCCUAAGAUAAACAAUAUCAGACCUCUUUUUUACCUCAUACUUUACUAAAGCAGUCUUAAAUUUUUCUGAUCCCCUAAACACCAUACCAAGCUCUAAAUAUGGGAUUGGGUUAUGAGGAUCGAAACAUACAUGUCGAGUUCUCCUGCAAACUACCUAACCAUUUAAAUCAUUUCUAUAAGACCCCAAAUCUGAUGAAUAUACCUAACCAGUUCCCCCACCUGAUGGAUUUGAAACCUCACUAUUUUUCUCUCAUUUUUCACUACCUUCACCUACCUUUGGACCCUCAUUGUUAACCUUAUUUUCUCCUUCUCUUUGGUUCUUUUUCUUACCUUUAUAUUUUCUAUACCAAGCCUUGAUAUUUCUCACCUCUUUAUUCUCAGAUCCUGCCCCUAAAAUCCCUUCAUUACCCAAUGAGCUGUCUAUAUCACCAGUCCCAUUACUUUCAAAACUUUCGCCUCUUAGCAUGUGCAUCACUACUCUCACCCAACUCUGGUCCCACAUUAGAUUCCCCACCUAACUCGAUAAAUAGUUCCCUAGCCCCACCAUUAACUCUUUCAUUACAAUUUAAUUCUUCAUUAUAAUUUGGUUCCCCAACCUCGAUAUUUACUUCCCUUUCCCUAAUGGCAGGUAGCAACAUGGUAUUAUCAACAACAUCAGGUGUGUCUACCUCAUGUUCAACAUAUACAUGUAUGGACCCUAUUUUUCUUAUAUGGUUAAUCAUUGCUAUGAAUGAUGAAUCAUCAUAGCAAACACUCAGUCCCUUACUAAAAUCUAUCCCACCCUUACAGUAUAAAAAGUUCUUCAUAGCUCUAUACCCAACUUCCACUACCAUCUCACACAAAGUGUAAUAACACAAUAAAUAUGGGUCAAAAUUCCAUUGCAACACUUCCCCUCCUACAUAAGCUGCACAAGGGUUUGUGACAAAAUAUCCACCCAAAUGCAUAUACACCACACAUUUAUCCUAAGACAUGAUAAAACACUGCACAUACAUAAUAUAAACUAUAAUGUACAUACAUGAUAAAAAUAGGGCAAUCUUGAUUCGAAUACCACAAAUGGCUGGGUAAUUGAAAAGGCUAACUAAUUGAUGAUGAAACAAGAUUUUCAAUGAGAUAGUGAAGAAUUUUUCAGACGGGUGGAUAAUCAAAGGGUUUCUCGGAUAGUUGAAUGAUGGAAUCGAAAGGCUUUCUCGUACAAAUGUUGAAUGAUGGAAACAAGAUUGGUGAAAGGAUUCAUUGUCAAUAAAAUAAAAUCAUAUAUGGCUUUUGAUGUUCAAGGAUAACCCAAAAGCAAUCGAAAAGAUUUAUGUUCUAAUCAAUCUAGUAAUUGAUGAAAAACAUUUAUUUGGUUUUUUUUGUUAUUUUAAUGAAUGAUUUUUUUAAUUCUUCUUUUUUUAAGGAGUUGAGUCAACACGGGUCAAAGAGGUCUCAAGAGUGCAACAUGUGGCGGCACGCAAGUGGCCAGUGCUACCUCAUCAAAAAAAACUUAACAUUAUUAGGCUCAUGUACCAAACUAGUGGACGAAAAAAAGUUCGAGUAUUAAUCUGGGACAAAAAAAAUCAUAGGUACCAACCUGGGAGAAGUGGACAAGUUUGAGUACUAAUUUUAUAUUUAACCUUAAAGAAAAUGAACUGAGAGUGAUAAAAAAAUCUAACAAUAAGCUCUUAAGAGAUAUGUACAAGAGAAAAUGAAAGAAUAAAGAAUUUGAAGUUUUUCUCUUGACUUUAAUGCUUGGAUGUUAUUGAGAAAGUGGUUUGUAGUCGUUUAUAGCUGUUUAAGAUGAUUUGAAACUGUUUGGAGCAUUAAUUUUGGUCUCAAAAAGUGUUCUUCCAGCUCAUGUUCCAAUACAUAUAAUGUAUCGAUGCAUCUAAAAAAAAAUAGUCGUUAGAAAAUUAUCUUACAAGAACGUAACUCCAUGUUCUCAAUGUUUAGGAACAUGACUCUACGUGUAGGAGCAUAAUGGUGCCAUAUUUUGAUGCAUAUUUAUGUUCUACAACUUUGGCUUAUAUGUUUUGAUACCCUUCAAUUUAGUAGUUUACUAACUCUUUAUGUUCCCAUAUAUUUAAAAUAUGCAUGAGAACUUAAUUCUAUAUUUGUAUAAAAUGAAUUUAAACAUCUUAGAACUUUGGUAUUGACAGAAAAACAUUUGAAUAAGUUAAAACACAUUUGAAAUAUACUUUUGAGUACUUUGCAAGUUUUUGAAUGCAAAUUAAAAUUGCAUAAAAUGAUAAUUUAAUAUAAGCUAUAUCUCCCUUUAUCAAUAUACCAAUUGUUAAUAACCAAAGUAAUGCAUAGUAAGCACAAAUGUACCAAAAUGUGGAUAUCAUAAGCUCACUAAAGCUGCAAUGGUAUCAAUUAUGAAGAGUAUAAGAAAGAGAAAUAAAUAUGCAAAACAUACUUCAUUGAAUGAGUAAUGCAUGUGAACAACAUAGUCCAUUCCAUUCAAAAAAGUAUACUAAUCGUCACAACUUAUCACAAUGCUUAAUGACGAUAUUAUGAAGCACGAGGCAUGUUAAUGACAGCCGAUCAAUAAUAUAGCAAUGUGAGCAAACAAUGAAUACCAAGAUAAGUGUGAUGUGAGGGAGGAGAUUAUGACAUAUUUCCUAAGUCAAUUUUUAAAUAAAAGCAUAAAAUAUGUCAUGAUAAAUUUAUCUAAAAAUAUAACAAUUCACAUCAAGAUACUAAAUAAGGUAUCCUAAUUUCUAAGUCUUAAUAUAAGACUAAAUUUAAUCUGAAGUUCUAAACCUUAAAUUAAGUUGUAAGCCUGAUUCUAAAGUUGAUCCUACAAGCUAGUUAUAAUUUUAGUUUUAAAGGCUAAUUCCAAUUUUAUAGGUUAAUCCUAGUAUUAAGUCUAAUACUAAGAAUCUAUACUAUUCCUAAAUUAUGUAACCUUACAUAUAACUUAAGAUAACGAGAUAGUCAGAGCUUAAGUAAGGAGCUUAAUAUAAUUUAGUCAUACAAAUCUGUUUUUGUUUUUAAAUUUGUUUCUCAAACUUAUUAGUUAGUUUUCUGAGUUGUUUUGUAGGCUUAUUCUACUUUCCAGCCUUAACUCUUUUUUUUUUUUUAAAUUUCUCUUCACUUUUUCUGAGGUCAUGACUACUAUAUAUUGAACAAGAAUAAUCAGUAAACUUGUGCCAGUUGUGUAAUUUAAUUUGACAAACUCAUUAUGGUAUUAGAGUUGUUGUAAAUGCAUGUGAAAUUUUGUGGGUCAAGCAUCUUCUCGAAGAACUACAUGUUCCUCUUAUGCGUCCCAUUCCACCUUCUGUGACAAUUUGGGUGUUACUAUACACUGCCAACAUCCUGCUUUACACAGCAAAAUGAGGAACUUAAAAGUCGUAAUACACUUUGUUUGAUACUAUGUUAAUCGAAAAGAGCUUGAUGUUCUUCACGUCCAUACUGUUGAUCGGAUUGUUGAUGUUAUUACCAAGGCGCCACCCUAGUCAAAUUUUCAUUUCAAUCAUUCCACGUUAGGAGUUGCAUGUCAACCCCAAAGUUAAAGGGACUUAUUACUGAAACAUGCUGACUUGGGCAUUUGAGUUAGUCAUACACCAAAUCUGUAUUUUGUUUUUAAACUUGUUUCUCAAACUUGUGUGAGAUAUUUCACUAAUUUGACAAACUCUAUAGAGGCAGGGGUGGGCUACCAACGGUGGGGAAGGGGGAGAAGAUGAGAGAGGAGGAGGGAGAAGGGGGAAAAGGAUGGUGAGGCCAUGGCUACCUGCCGCCAGUCCAGCCAGUUGCCAAGGGGAGCUCUCAUUUUCGGGGCAGCGAAAUGGGAAGAUUUUCUUUUAUACCAACUUUUUGGAUGAUUGAUAUGAUGAUAUUCUUUUGGUUUGUGGUUGACGCUUUUUUAGACGUUGGGGUGUUUACUACACGCGUAUAGGGAAGCAGCAGCUGCAUAUGGGGUAAUUGGCAAAUUUUGGAUAUAUUUUCUACUUAUUACAAGUAUUUGUAGCAAACUACAUACUGCUCCCUAUAGACAUGGUGAAUAUAAAGGAGAAAAUAUUCAAUCAAGUAUUUUCGCAAUAAGUCUGAAUGAAUGAAUAAAUACACGCAUUGCACGGGGUAUACAAUGAUGGUUUUGCACAGAAAAACAUGCAGUUGAUGGUGUAUUAGGGUCCAAACCCGAGCUUCUCGACAAUUAUGUAUAAUUAUUUGGACAGUUAUGUUCCAGGCUUACUCAACAGUAGCGGAGAGUUCCAUUGUUGCCUGGCACCAGCCAAAUGGAUUAUCAUUUUAUAGGAGCAAUUCUCAUCACUGCUGUUAUUAGCAUCAUUUGCCAUUUGUUAAUUUAAGGAUGGAUAAUGACGACCUUGAGGUAAGGGAUGAAGAUAUGCUAUCGCCAUGCACGGAGAGGAAGCCUAUGCGUUGUGGGGAGAUAGACAGUGAAAGGACGCCAUUGCCAAAACAGGCGGAUAUUUACAUAUGGUGAAAAACAUAAUAUCCUUUUCUACUAUACAUCAUAAAAUCAAAAAGUACAAAGAAAGUCAAUGGUAGGCAGCUCCAUGUGUAAUUAGAAUAUUUAUAACCUUCGUGAUCAUGGACAUGCACUAUCCUAGUUACCCCUAAUCUUAUAGGCAACAUUUCUAAAUUGAAUAUGUACAUUAUUUACUACAGUUUGUAAAACAUGAUUAUGCAUCCAUUCCACUUCCAGGAAUGACUCCUCAGGCUUAACUAGAACAGUGAAGGUUCCACUCUCAGAGUAAUGAGUCUCAGGCCUCGCACCUUCCUGAAGCUCUACAAACUACAGCAUUUCGAGCAUGAACUGAAACACCAGAACUAACAACAUAAAAACGCAAAAAGAAUUCGAUCACAAGCAAGCCAACCACCACCAACGAGUGCACAACCGUGGAUACAUCAGUAAACAGUUACUGGCCAUAAUCGCGUAGCUUCAUUAAUUUCUCUCUUAACUUUGCUGCAAGAAAUUAAAUAAAUAUAAUUUUAUCUACUGUUAGUAAGCAAGAGCUUCAGUAUGUCAAAACAAAGGAAUGAAAAAAAAAUAGCAUUGUGACUACUUCAUUUAAUAAAUUUAUAAUUGAUAGAAACAGAAUAUUCUCUCUUUUUUGCCUUUUGGAGUGUUUUUUGGUCAGAAGAUGGUAUUUUAUUAUUAUUACCUGCAUCAGUGUAUCUUUCUUCUUUGACAGCUAAAUCCAUAUUCCUCACCAGAUCCAGCUCCUCUAAUAGAAAAUCAGGACCAUCUGCAGCACUGAAAAUAUAUAACCAUGCUUAGAGUCACUAUGUGCCACACAAUUAGAAGAGAAGACAACAAAGCCAGAAUAAGCAAUAUACCUGUCAAGAGAUACAUCAUAAGUAGACUUUUUGUCAAGCACUCGGCCCAUCCCGUAGCCAAUUCUAAUAGCAUCUGCCAAGACAAUUUGUUUGUUCACAUAUAUUGGAGCCUGCAUACAGGAAAAACAGAUUAGAAGCUUUGGAUUGAACCUUGAAAGAGCCGUUUGUCAUUGGAAUGAGAGAGGCAGAUUGCAAAUUGGAAAUACUGGACUAUCUGACCACAGUUCUGGAAUUAUCAGCAUAUGUACAAAAAAUGCAAAUGCAACCACUUACAUAUGUAAAAGGCCAUACUUAAUACUGACCAACCUACUCAAACUAAAUAAGGCAGUCUUGUUGAGACUUUAUACUGGUGCAAGUCAAGACAGGGAAACGGUGUAAGACUAGAAAGCAAGCAAUUCCCUCUCAUAUUUCAUGGUAAUUGCUUUAUGAAUAAUAUUCCCAUACGCACCUUGCAUCUGUUAGCCACAUUUAUGGCAUCUGAGGGUCGUGCAUCCACAAUUAUGACAUCAUUUUCCCCUGGCUGUAAACAUAAGAAUAAUAAAUGAAUCAGGUUCCUGUAUCACACCAAGGAAAUAUACAUAUGCACACAAGAUAAUCACCUUGCUAAAAUACAAUUUCGCAAAGUAAGUAUUGACGACUCUUUCUGUAAUUCUCACCAUUUUAACCUGAAAUGAAGACAUGUAAAAAUCAAUGAAAAGAGAUGCUUACACAACAAAGUGUCAAGUUUUCCUAGGUUAAAGCUAGUAACUCCGUAAGAGUAAAAACAAGUUAGGGUUUAGGGUAUAUUGGGCUUUGUUAUCCCCUUUCUUAUUUUACAAAUUUUUGUUACUUAUCUCCCUCCAUGUUCAACACUCGAGAGUGUUCUUCAAUAGACAUGCGAUGUAAAGAAACAACUAAAGCAACUCAGCAAGCGACUGAUAAAAGCUACAAAGAUUUCAACAGGUCUUAAUGAUACAGGAGAAAAAAAACGAAAUCCAUACUUCAUAUCCAAGCUUCUCCACAACAUUAUUAACAAGCUGAAACUGAUCAGGGGUAUCCUGAAAAAAAAAAUAACAAAAUGUCCAGAAGUUUAUAUACAAUGAGUCGUCAAUAACAUCUUAAAAUAAAAGUAACAGAUUAGUAAGUUACCCCUUUAUCAUCUCCCCAAAAGGCAGCUAUGAGUUUUUCCACAGAGAACUCCCCUGCAACAUUAGAUUAAUUAGAAUUAGUAAGAAAAUAGAUCCAACCAACAAUGAUAACUAAUUGUAGUAAAUAAGAAUAGGGUAGAAUUUUUUAUUUAUUAAUGAUAAUUAUUAUUAUACCUACAACAAUGGGUAGCAAGAACUCCCCAUCACAAGGAAUCUUAAGAAAAAUAGUUGGACUGGGAAAGCGACUGAGAAAGGCCUGUCCUAUUGAAGUAAUUUUAGCUCUGGACAUGGGAAACACUCCUUUUACGUCCUGUUGAAAUCCAUGCCUCCACAUCCGGUAGUGUAAAAUAGUUUCUGCACCUCCAAAACGAAUCAAAACUCCAAAUUAUCUCCAAGAAAAAAAAAUCAAUGGAAAUUGAAAGAUAAACGGGAGGCACUCGUAAACCUGAGACGAGAAGAGAAGCUUCGAGAAACUGGUGAUCUCGAUUGUCACCAUUACUAGAUUGGGGGCGGAAGCUACCAUGGGCGGAGUGGCAAGAAACAACAACGGGUUUAGGAGAAGGACGGCGGCGUUUCGUCGUAAAAUGCGAACACAAGGAGGAGGAGCGGAGGCAGGAGGAAGAAGCGGUUGGAUAAGGAGAAGCAGCAGUGUAUCGGUCGGAGGAAAUCGAAACAGUGGCGAUUGUACGGACGUAAAGCUGAGCACCAAGCAUUAUGUGGGAAACGUGGAGAGAUAGCGAUAGGAUACUGAGAAAAGAAAUUUCUUCGAUUAGGAGAUUUUCUUUCUUUUUCUUUUUCCUUUAUGUUUGACGGGAAAAUAAAGGAAGUUGGUAUUUAUAACAUAUAGCGUCAAGUGUUACGUUACUGGAGAAAGGUUUAAUUUAAGAUUUGGCCAUUGAAGUAUAACUAUUUUUUUACUUUAGUACUUAAAUAUUUUUUGUCCCAAUUUAGUAUCUAAAGAAUGUCUUCAUUAUAUUUUUUAGUCCAUUUUUUGACUAAUGUUAAAAAAUUAUUUGACUAAUGUUAAAAAAUUAUCUUAUAGUUAAUCACAAAGUUCCACAUGGUAUCUUUAUAUAAAAAAUAAUUUUUUUAUUAAAUCUAGGCUUUUUUUCUUGUAUAAUAUAAAAAUAAUAAAAAAUUAUCAAAAUAGUAUCUUAAUCCUAUUAUUUACGAAAAUGGUAUGGCGUGGGUGGUGAAGAGGCGGCACCACCCUUGCUUUUUGACCCCAAUCAUUAGUCUAUUAUGCAAAAAGAAAAUUAAUUUUUUUAAGGGUGAAGGGGACCUGACAGGCAGCACCGGUGGAGGCAUCAUAAUAAGUGGCACCGCUUUGCACCGGAGAGACGACCUGAACUAAAAAUGUUUUCUUUAUAAAAGAGUCAUGGUCCCCUUAAUUGAAAAAAAAAAUUUAAGGAGAAGAAGGGAAGAAGCCGUAGAGAAGAGAAGGGAAUAAGGGUUUUAAAAAGUUAAAAUGUUAUUUUUUGUAGUUUUAUUUUGGUUAGGUUAGGAUUUUGAGAAGAGGCACCAACAAUUUUUUUAAAGGUAAAUUUAUUUUUUAUAAUUAUAAUUUAUUUGUUUAAUAUUUUUUAAUACUUAUUAUUUGUUCAAUUUUACAAGUAUAAAAAAAUUUACAAAAAAAUAAACAAAUACGGGUACUAAAAAAUCAAACAAAUAACCAAUAAUUUUAUGUUGAUGCUAUAUGAACGUUUAUCAAGUAAUAAAAAAUAAAUAACCAAUAAUUUUAUUUGUUUGGCUAAAACAUGGGUGCCAAAAAAUAAACAAAUAAAAAAAUAAAUUUGCUAUAAAAUAAAGAGAGAUAAAGAGAUUAAAAAACAAAGAAAAUAUAGGAAGCAAUAGAUAAUGUAUUUUAUUGAUCAAUGGAAUGAUUACAAUGCUUCAACAGUCUCUAUUUAUAGGUAUAAGAAGUAUAAAAGAAGUAGAAAUCCAAUUCUAAUAACUAUUAGAAUUUAAAGUACAUCAAAACUUUAUCUUGAUCAUGAUGGACAUCCACUUAAUAAGAUAUUCAUAACACUCCGUAUUGGAUGUUCAUUGUUAGAUAAUGUGCCUCGUUAAAACAUUAUUAGGAAAAACUUUGUGCGAUAAAAAUCUAAUGAAGGAAAAAGAGUAAGCAAUCUUCUAUUACAAGCUGCCUCAUUAAAAACAUUUACCAGAAAAAACCCAAUGGGGCAAAACUUUGGUUAAAGGAAAAGAGUACAACUUGUUUUAAACUCCCUCUAAUGGAAACAUUACAUUACAUCUUUGAUUGACGCAUUCCAAUAUUGUGUAGUAAUCUUUUAAAUGUUGAAGUUGGCAAUACCUUACUAAAAAGAUCUACUAAAUUAUCACUAGAACGAAUUUAUUGAACAUUUAUAUCACCUAUUUUCUCAAGAUCAUGGGCGAAGAAUAAUUUUGGUGAAAUAUUUUUCAUCCUGUCACCUUUGAUGUAACCACCCUUCAAUUGAGCUACACAUGCUGCAUUAUCUUCACAUAAGAUAGUUGACAUCUUUUCCUGUAAAGGCAAAUUACAUAUCUUCUAGAUAUGUUGGGUCAAUAACCUUAGCCAAACACACUCUCGACUUGCCUCAUGCAUUGCAGUUAUUUCUGCAUGAUUUGAAAAAGUUGCAGGUAAUGUUUGCUUUGUUGAACGCCAUGAUAUGGCACCCCCACAUGUAAAUAAAUAUCCUAUUUGAGAUCGACAUUUAUGUGGAUCUGAUAAGUAUCUAGCAUUAGCAUAGCCGACUAAUAGGGAUUUUGAAUUAUUUGAAUAAAAUAACUCCAUAUCAAUGGUCUCUCUGAGAUAUUUAAAUAUAUGUCUAAUUACAUUUCAAUGUCUACGUGUUAGAGAAGAACUAAAUCUUGGUAACAAGUUUAUAGUGAAAGUUAUAUUAGGUCUUGUGUUGUUUGCACGAUACAUCAAUGCCCCUAUGACACUUAGAUAUGGUACUUUAGGACCAAGAAACUUUUCAUCAUUCUCGCAACGACAAAAUUUAUCUUUAUUCACAUCUAAUGAUUGUACAACCAUUGGAGUACUCAAUGGUUGUACUUUAUCCAUAUAAAAUUUCUUUAAUUUCUUUUCUGUAUAAGUUGAUUGAUGAACAUGAAUUCCAUCUCUUAAAUGCUCGAUUUGUAAGCCAAGAAAAAACUUUGUUUUUCCAAGAUCUUUCAUCUCAAAUUCUUUCUUUAAAUAAUUUAUUGUAUUUUGAAGCUUUUCAGGAGUUCCAAUAAUAUUUAGAUCAAUAUAAACAAGAAUUAUCACAAAAUUUGAUCCAAACCUUUUUAUAAAGACACAUGCACAAAUUGGAUUGUUUUUGUAACCUUCUUUUAACAAGUAUUCACUAAGACGAUUAUACCACAUACGUCCAGAUUGUUUUAAUCCAUAUAAACUUUUCUUUAAUCUGAUCGAGUAAUUUUCCCGAGAAACUUUAUAUGCUUCUAGGAUUUUAAAUCCUUCAGGGAUUUUCAUAUAAAUUUCAUUAUCAAGUGCACCUUAUAAAUAGGCUGUAACAACAUACAUUAGAUGCAUGUCAAGUUUUUCACGUACUGCCACACUAAUAAGAUAUCUAAAUGUGAUUGCAUCCACCACAGGAGAAUAUGUCUUUUCACAAUCAAUGUUGGGCCUCUACAAAAAAUUUUGUGCUACAAGUUGUGCUUUAUAUCUUACGACUUCAUUUUUUUAUUUCAUUUUUGCACAAACACUCAUUUAUAUCCUACCGACUUUAACCUUCAGGUGUUUGGACUACCGAUCUAAAAACCUCACGUUUAGAAAGUGAAUUAAUUCCACUUGAAUUGCAUCUUUCCAUGGCUAAUCUUUUCUAUUUUUACAUUCCUCAAUAGAUUUAGGCUCAGGAUCCUCAUUUUCUUUUAUCAUUUUAAUAGAAAUAUUAUAAGCAAAAUUGUUGUCGACAACUACGUUCUUUUCGGUUUUAUCUUUUUCUCGUAUUGACAUAACUUAUCAAGCUCUCUUUAUUUUCAUCAUUUUCAUUUUCACUUUUAGGUAUCUGAAUCUCUUAUUAAGUUUUAUAACUAGUUAUGUCAUGGGUCUCUUUAGGAACCCCUGCCUCCACUAUAUGACCAUCUCGAAUGGUUGCUCAUUUUCUUUUAUGAUGAUUUUUAUCUUUAAAACUGACUGAUCUUCCACGCUUCAGGCAUGAAUUACUUUAUUUUGCACUAAUAGUUCGCCCUAUUAGGAUAUCAAUUCAUAUUGGAGCAUUUUCAAUUGAUAUGUGAGAUUUAAUAAAUAUGACAGUUGAUUUGUAAAAUGAAUUAUAUGCUGAACUUCUGGUUUACAUUGCUUUGUACAAGGAUCUUAGACAUUGAUAAUUCAUUUCGAGUACUUUAUUAACCCAACUUUUUAUUCUCUCCCCUUAAUGUUGGGAAAACUGACAACUUAUGUCAUAACUAAAUCUCGAAUUAAUAGCUUAAAAAUAUUAUAAGGAGACUCAUAUAAAUAUACAUUCUCAAUCUCUUAUGAUGGCCUAUCUUUGUGCGUUAUGGUGGAGCAAUUGGAAUAUAUACCGUACAUUCAAAAAUUUUAAGAUGGAAAAUAUUUGACUCUUGACCAAAAAUCAAUUGUAAUAGAGAGUAUUUAUAAUUUAUUGGUUUGAUGUAUACAAUUCUUUUUAAUAAUCAUAUACAGCUUUGUAAUUCUUUUUAAUAUGAAUGAUAAAAAAAAAUUGAUUCUUCUAAAAUUUUAUUUAUUCAUAUAAAAUGAAUAGGUAUAAAUAAAACAUAUAUUAAACGUAACAAAUAAUAAAUUCAUGUUACUAAUAAAUCAGUGUGGCUAGAUAAUAUAUUUUUUUAUAUCAUAACACAACAAAAUACAAAAUAUUAUAAUGUCAAAUUAAAAUAACUUUACAACUAUAAAAGUUUAAAACAUAAACAUUUUCUAACCUCCACCUCUUAUGACAUAAUUUCAUUUCAAAUUUUACAGUGAUAUGAAAUUAUCACAGACAGAGUGAAUAUCUCAAAGUUCAUGACAAGUAAGUAUUUUUGCUCGCAUUCCGUAAUAAUCAUACAUCUUAAUCAAAAUCAAAAUUAAAUCAAUCAAUUCUAUUAAAAAAUAUUUAUCUCCAGAAAAAAAUCUCAAUAACUAAAUGCGUGAAGGGUUUUACAAAUUCAUAGAGAUACGAAUAGUGAAUUAUAUAAAUUGAACUUUUUAAUAGAAAUCAAAUCAGAUUUUAAAAGAAGUUGAUUAGAUUGACUUACGUUACCAUGAAUGAGAAGUAGUAAUUAUAAGCAUCAUUUGUAAUGAAGAGAAAGAGAUCAUCCCUAAGCAAAUAUCAUAAAGCAAACUUUGAGAGUGGAUCCUAUUUCUCGAUUUCAUAUAGAUAACGAUAUCAAAUAUUUCACCAUCCUUAAGAAUAAAAAGGUAAAUAAGUUAAUCAAAAUAAUGAUAACGUAUAAUGAAAGAAGAAUGAAAAAUAAUAAUUAGAUAUGAAACAUUAAAUAAAUAAAAAACUUCAUGUAAAAAUUUUGCAUCUUACCGUCAAAGAUAUUGGAAAUUAUGGAGGAUAAAUUUGAUCGUUGAUAAAAGGAACUAUCAAUUUGAGAAAGAUCGUGUUGAUAACGUAUUAUAAAAUAAAGAGAGAUAGAGAGACUAAAAAAAAAAGAAAAUAUGGGAAGCAAUAGAGAAUAUAUUUUAUUGAUCAAUGGGAUGAUUACAAUGCUUUAUCAGAGUCUCUAAUAAUAUUAUUAGAAAAAAUAUAAAAAUAUUUUAAAAAUUAUAUUUUUUUUAAAGUUUAAAACCAAAAAUUCAAAAACAUAUAAUAAUAAUUUUUUUAAAAAAAUAGUAUUUAAGUUUCAAGUUUGUUUGUUUUUUUUUUUGCAAUUACUUGAAAUUUAAAUACCUUUUUAAAUUUUUAUAACAUUUUUCAAUUUCUAUAUAUUAUUUUGAAUUUUUAAAAUUUAAAAUUAUAUAUUUUAGAAUAUUAUUUUUAAACUUUUUUUAUAUAUUAUAUAUGAUUUUUUUACAUUUUUAAUCAAAAUGAUAUAUAAUAUUAAAAAAAAGAAUACGUGGUAUAUUCUAAUAGUGCCACGUGGCUAGUCAACAUCGGUCAACACUAGUCAAUGUUGGUCAAUACUGAUCAACUCUGAUCAACGAAAACACUUUUUACUUUGACCGAUCAUUGACUAGUGUUGAUCAGUCAUAUGGCACUAUUAGAAUACACCAUGCCUCCUUUUUUUAUUUUUUUAAUAUUAUAUAUAUCAUAUUGAUUAAAAAUGUAAAAAAAAUUAUAUGUAAUAUAUAAACAAAUUUUUAUAAUGUUUUAAAUUUUUUUUAUAAAAUUUUAAAAAGUCAAAAUAAUAUAUAAAAAUUGGACAAUGUUAUAAAUUAUUUUUUAAAAAAUUAAACUUCAAGUAAUUGCAAAAAAAAAACAACUUGAAAUUUAAAUAACUUUUUAGAAUUUUAUUUUAAAACUUUUUUAAAUUACAAUUUUUUAUAAUUUUACAAUUUUUAUAUAUUUUUAAUAAUAUUAUUAAUUUCAACUAAUUUAAUUUUAAUUAUCCUAUUUUUCUAAAUUUUAUUUUUAUAAUUUAUAUGUUUUUCUAGAUUUUAUAUACAUUUUUCUGAAAUUUUUUUUAUAUAUUUACUUCCAUUUUAUAUUUUUAAUAUAUAUACAUUUAAUAAAAGAAAAUGUUUUUUUAUGUAAGACACCACGUGACAUUUUGUGAUUGGAUAUAAUUUUUUUUUAACAUCUCUAAAAAAAUGGAUUAAAAGUAUAACGGAGGCAUACUUUAGGUGCCAAAUUUGGAAAUGAUUGAUAUUUUAAGCAUCAAAUUGAGAAAAAAAAUUUAGGUACCAAAAUAAAAAUAUAAAUAUUUCUAAGGUCAAAUUGUGAAUUAAGCCUUGGGCAAAAGCCUACCUUACACCCCAUAUAUACAACACGUGUUUAAAUAUGUGUGAGGCAUGAGAGAGUUUCCUUUUUUCCUUUUCAGAUAAAAUGGUAAACUAUAGAAUUCAUCACCUAAGUCUUAUAAGUUUUCUUUUUGGACACCAAUGAAAAAGUUUGCAUUUUAGGCAUGGUCAUUAAAAACUAUUUUUAUUUUGGUCACCUGCUAUUAACUCAAUGUUAAUGUUCACUUAUUUUAGUCACCCCACUUUAGUGGUUGAAUGGUAAAUAGUUGGGUUUCAAUUAAGUUAGAACCUGUAACGCCCCAAUUUUCGGGAAUUCUGUGAAUGUUGGCAUAGGUUUAAUUAUGUUAGUGGGCCUCUAGAAGGCCCAAGCUUAAGAUAGAAUCCGGCAAUUUUAGUUAAUUUUUGUUCCAUAAGAAAAAUGGGGUGAAAUUAUGAAAUAGAACCUAUGUGAAAAUGUUUGAAAAUGCUAUAGGCUAAGUUGAAGUGGCCAAAUAAAUAGGAGUGCAAAAUAGGAGGAUUUGCAUGACAAACCUCCCAUUUUACAUGUAGUGGCUGGUCAUCAUGUUGUCGUAGACAAAAUGUGCACUUGAUAUCCAUAAUUUAUGGUACAAAUUGAUACAAAUUGAUAAUGGGUUAGGUAAAUGUUCCAUGAUAAUGGGUUAGGUAAAUGUUCCAUGAUGGGAAUUUCAUGUCUUUUGUAUUAAAGAAUUAAAUGGAUGAAAUAUGAAAUUUUAUUAAAAAAAAGGGGUGAAAAGAAUAAAGUUUUGUCCAUCUUUGUUCAUCAUAGCCUAAAGUUAGAGAAGAGAAAGUAGAGGAGAAAGCUCUUGAAUGUUCGGUCACUUGGGGAAGAAAAAUUGAAGGUAAGUUCAUGGUAGUUUGCUUUUAUUUUGAGGUUCAUGAGUUCUUCUUGAUUCUACCUUAACUCUUGAAGCAUAUUUUGGUUUUUAGUUGUGUUGUGAGCAUUUAGUCAUGAAUUAAAAUGAAGGAAAUGGUUGUUGUUUCAUGUUCUUUUGAUGAAAAAUGGAAGAUAGGUGAAGUUGAGCCAAACAAAUGAGCAUGCAUGUGCCUUAGAUGCUAAGGGGAAAAACCGGCUAACAUGUUGUGCUUUAAAAUGAUGAAAUGGAGAUUAUACUUAAGUAAAAUCAUAGAUAUGUGAUGAUUGAUUGGUGAUAUACAUGUUUAAAUAACAUGCAUGCAAGUUAUGUGUGAAAGAGUGAAUUUGGUAAUAAAUCUGCUUGGGACAGCAGCAGUAACGUGACUUUGGAAAAUCACCAUAAAUUGUGGGAGAUGAAUUAGAAGCUGAAUAAAUUAUUUAAUUAAAGCUUGUUGAGUCUAGUUUCAAAUGAAAUAAACGAGAACAUAUUUUGAAUUCUGUACAAUGAGAAAUUUGAUUCGUAAUGAAGAGUGGUCAGAUUAGUCAAACAGUGAAACAUGCGAAACUUUGAGAAAAAUCUGGUAUUGAUUGGCCAAACCAAAAAUUCUGAAAAUUUUAUGGAUAUAAGAUAUAUGAGUCUAUUUUCAGGGAAAAUUAACGGCACUUGAUUUGGAGUUUCGUAGCUCUAGUUAUAAAUGAUUUAGUGACUGUUGCUCAGGAAGACAGCUUGCAGUGAAAUUAUGAUUAUGUGGUAAACACUGACAAAAAUUUGUUAAUGAGUUGCUUAUUGAUUUCUUAUAAGCUUACUCUGAUCUGUAGGUGUGGUUGGCCGAAUAUUGUAAGGGGUUAAUACGUAGUUCAUAUUUGAAUAGUUAGAUUAACGUGUUAGUAAUCCAAUUGUAGGCGGUUCGUGUGUGGAUCUCGUCAGCAUAUCGUCGCAAACAGGUGUGUAACUAACACCCUCUUAUAGACUAGAUUGGCACAAGCCGAAAAGCCGAAAUGCCGAAAAGCCGGUAUUUUGAGAUCUUGCAAGUGUGUGAAUGCUCAUGAGAUUAAUAGUUUGAUGUAUAUGGUAAUUAAAGUGAUAAGACUGCAGAGUGUGCGAUUCUGUGCAUUUCGAUAUUUUUGGGCUUAAUGGGCCAAAAACGGGUUAAUGGGCCAACAGGCCCAAAUUGUUAAGAAAACGCGGUAAGUGUUUCUGAUCGUACGUAAAUGCCUCUGUUAUGUAUGAAAACCUUAAGAAUAGUUAAAUUACUUGAAUACCCCUAUGUAUGCAAAAUUACCAUUAUACCCCUAGGGUUACUUUUGACUGAAAAGCAUGACGAUCUGAUUCUGUAUGAUGUAUGCAAUGAUUAUAUAUCUGUUGCAUGGGGACUUGGGUUAUACUAUGGAGGAAGCGUCGUGGUGGCUAUGCCACAAUUUAUCUAAUCUGGUGGCUCUGCCACAUAUAUCUGUCCUGGUAGCUAUGCCACAAUUAUCUGAUCUGGUGGCUCUGCCACAUAUAUCUGUUCUGGUGGCUCUGCCACAAUAUCUGUAUCUGGUGACUUCGUCACAAUAUCUGGCAGCCUUGCUGUGAUUUCUAUGGUGUGUAGCGGUUGGGUGGAUCGAGUAGUCUCCCCACAUGGUGUAAGGCUGGUACGGGGGUGUUUUGGAUGAAUCUGGGUUGGGUUUUUGCAUAAACAUGUAAUAUCUGUUCUGUUCUGUUAUGGGCCUAUGGGCUUUAUUCUGAAUUCUGUUCUGGGCUAAGGCCAACUUAUUCUAUUUCUGUGGUUUGAGCUGAUAUAGGCUAUGGUUGGGUUAAUUUACACACUGAGUUUCCCCAAACUCACCCCUUUUAUUUUCAUCCACUCAGGUAAUCCCCAACCAUAGUGGGCUUGGAGCUGUGAGGGAAUUCAGAGUGGCCACCCGUUCUGAAAGUUUGAUUUUCUUCUGGUGAAUUGGACAUCCUUUUAUUUACGUUUGAAGUUUUGGGUUUUUAAAUGUAAUAAGGCCGCUUAAUUAUUUUUUUUAUGGUUUUAAUAUGUAUUAGUAAGAUAAGUAUUACUUAUUUUAACUGUUGAAAUUGGAUAGCUUUAGGGCGCGUUUUCAAAAACAACAAUUGAUUUCAAAAUAACACGAUAACAAGCAAAGCUUCCGCAAUGAAAGUAUUUUCCAAAAUUAAUCACUUUUCCUAAAAAUGACUUAAUCAAAUCGGUUUCCUAGAAUUAUCCAUGACGUUAAGGUGUGGCAAUGGCGGUAUGCAUGUCUAGGAUUGGAUCCGAAGAGAGCUUGGUACUUAAGCAGUCCGAUGGACUCACCACCUCUUUUCCGGUUUCCUACCUGGUGCACAGCUUCCAUUCACUUUAACCUAUAAUGAAAUUAUCUUUUAAAACACUAAGUAAGUUUUUCUGUAUCAACAAUAUAAAAUGUUUUGAACGCUUCGAUGUGGCAUGUCGGAUCCGGUCAUAACGUCUGGGCCGGGUUUGGAGUGUUACAGAACCGACUAGUUCCUCAGUGGGAGACUAAAUGAUUAGUAUUGGACGAAUAUUUGGGCCUUUGGUAGCCAUGUGUAAAAGGAGUUAUAUAUAUGUAUAAGGAGGAUCCUUCUGUAGGAAGAAUUCUUCUUAAUUCGAUUUUAUUUUCUUCUCUUUUGCAUCGUCUUCUUUGGUUGCUUCAAAGAAGAGAAAGUUAAGGAAAGUCCUAUAUGGGGCAGUGUUCAUAAGGUUUGAGUUCGGGAAGUAGAGAAUCUGAUGAGCUGGUAAGCUUCUCAAUCUUUCAGUAUUUGUGGAUUUGAGAAAUAUAAAGUAAUGAUUUCUGAAAUCUUUGAAAAGCUUCUACAUGUUACUAGAUUCUAAGUUUUAAAGUUCGAAUACUUUUGGUUAAACUGAUAUACUGGAGGUCAUGUUUAAUUGUUAGGACGAAAGAGACUCUGGCGUUUGGAAAAGCUAAGUUGACGAGGACGAACGAUAGUAGGUGAGUUUUUGUACUCCAUUAUGUGUGAUGUUUUAUUCUGGUUAUGAAGCUACUUGUAUGUUCUACAAGUUCAAUUUGAAUUCUAUGGUUGUUUAUUAUUGCAAUGAAUGAGAAAGUUUGGCAUGCAUGAAGCUAUGAAAUUUCAUGAAUGUUUGCAAGUAUGUCCUUGAAAUGCAUGAUAGAAUUGAUAUAUGGUGUAUUCCAUGUUAUUAUAGUAUUGUAAUGUUAUGUGUGAAAUGUAAUUUUAUAAAAUACGAAGUACGGAGGGAAGUAUUGGCGGGUUAGUCGAAGAUAGGAAAAUUGGCAUAGUGGAGGAAUGGAAGGGUUUAAAGAGGACUUGAGGAGGUUUGGCAAAAUAAAUUAUCUACAGUCUUUACGGAGUGACACCGUAUAAUUAGUAUACAGACUUUACGGAGCGACACCAUGAAAAUGGUCUACAGGCUCUACAAAGUGACACCUGAAAAGAGGUUCACUAAUUAUUCAGAGUCAAAAGUCCAUGGAAAGCGAUAGCAUGAUCCAGUAGUGAACAGGUACACAUUAUGGCGAAUUGAAGUCCACCGGGACAGUACAUAGGGAAGUCGUUGGAGCAUAUAAGGGGAAAUCACCGUAUGAUUCACAUGGCGAAAAGUCUAACAUAACAGUUAUGGCAUGUAUGGGAAAGUAGGCAAGUGUGCUAAUAAGAGGUCUCGCCAAAAAUGCGAAGGCAAGAGGAACUGGUGGAAGCGUUCUAUAUGCAAGUAUAUGUAGAGGGAAGGGGUAUUUCCUUCAAAGAAUUUGCGAAUAAGUAUUCGCCAUUAAAAGUCCACUAGAGGUAACGAGUAAACCAACACUGGUUUCGAGAAAGUAAGACGAUUCUUCAGAUUUUAAUUCUGCGUAUUUAAUGGCAAAGAGGUUACCAAAAAAGGGAAGUUCGCUAAGGAUUAUCUUAAGAGGAAUGUCCAUCAAGGGUUGUCUUGAAUACGGGAAUGCUUGUAAGGACCAUAUGUCCUGUAAAGCCGUCAGAGACUAACAAAGGAAGAGGAAGUCCAUUAAAACUAACUGAUUAAGGAGGUGUCUAUUUGAAAUCAUUAAAUAAGGGAAAGUUCAAUGGACUAUCGUACUAGUAUAAUUUCAUGAGAAUGGAGUAGCGAUUACACUAUCCACCAAGUCUUAUAUUUCAAGGCCACAUAUGAAGAAGUAAGAAAGCAGGUUUUUCCUCUGGAAAGGUAUGUGUGCAAGCCAAAUUAUAAGAAAGGAAAUUGUCGGGAUGAAAUGUAAAUCUGUAUUGAGUUUGAUGUUGAAUGAAGGGAUUAGUGUAAGAUUUCCGCCAUGGUGACGAGAAAUCUGCAAGUCCACCGAAGGUAAUCGAUAAACUGUAUUUUCGCUGGCGUGAUUAUAUUCUAAUGAGUCAAUCCAACAAGGUAAAAGGAAAGUUUGAGAUGAAGCUAGACAAAGCCAAUACCUAAAAAAAGGGUGUCAAAAAGAGAAUGAUUAUGUCCAAGUUCACUCUGAUAUGUCCAGAAAUGAUUCGUUCAAGAAGAAAAAAUUAGCGUUAUUUAUGCCAGUCAAACUGUGGAAUCUCCUAUAAAACCCAAUGAGUUCAAUUAUUUGCAUUAGCUCUUUAUUGCCCUAUUUAUUUCUUGAGACUUUGAAAGUCACUUAUGAAAACUGUUGUAUAGACUCUCAUUAAGUUCACAUGAACUUAUGGGUAUUUUGCUUUGAAUGCAGGGUCUAGGAAUGACUCGAGGAUUGUGUAGAGGUACCAAGGCAGACACAGCCAAGUCCACGCGAAUAGCGUUGCAAUUGUUUCAUGCAUAUAGAGAGGCACCCUUAGAAGCUAUGACUCAGGGGUUGAAUAAGUAUAUUUAUACCAAAUUUAAGUUUCAAGUCUUCGUAAAUAUUUAUAUACGUGCCUAAUAAGGCAAAAUGAUUGUAAGAACCUUAGUACUUGUAUAAUAGAAAAUUUAUUUGAAGUUUAAUUUCUAAAACAUGUUGUUAUUUAAGAUAUUAGAAUAAAGGUGCAUGAUAAGUAUAGGUUUAAACUUUGGCGUCUUUAAGUCUUUAAAUAAAUAAAGUUAGGGAGGUUGUUAAGUAAUAUGGUAUAAUUGUGACAUUUGGUAUCCAAACCCGGUGACCGGGUCAGGUAAAGGGCGUUAGAAAAACUUUAGUAAGUUUUCACUUUGGUCGCUUAUUUUAUCUUUUUUAAUUUUCUAUAUUUUUUCUUCUUUUGGAAUCAAUUUUAUUUAUUUUUCAUUACUAGGUUUUAUAGGAUAAACUUAAGUUUUUACAAAAAAAAAAUCAUUUUAUCUUUAUAGUUUUUUUAGUUUUUCUUUUUUUUUAGAGUUAAUUUUAAUUUUUCUAAUAGAAGGGAAAAUUUUGGGGUUUUACAAGGAAUUACAAAAAACUUGAGUUUUAUAGGGAAAAAUCAUUUUAUCUUUUUAAUUUCAUUUAUCAUUUUAUCUUUUUAAUUUCAUUCUUUCCUUUUUUUUAGAAUGGGAUAAAUAUAAAUUUUAUACAAGAACUUGCUUCAAUGUGUAAUUUGAUACAUAAACUUUGAUUUGGUACAAUUAUACACAUGAAAUUAGAAUUGUGAUUCAUAUGUAUAUAUAAAACUUUGAUUUUGAUUCAAUUGUACACAUUUAAAGAAAUGAAUACAUAUAUUUAUUUUCAUAUUGGAUGAGUAUAAUUGCUUGUGUAUGCAAUAUAUCAACGUAAAAUGGUGGUAAUUCGAUAAUAUUGUUAGUAAUUUGUGAAAAUUGAAUCGAAUAAAAUAAUCUUGUAUAAAAUUGUACAAAAUCAAAAUUCAUGUAUGAUGUUGCACAUUGAAUCAAAGUUAAUGUAUAAUUUUAAGAUUUAUCAUUUUUAGAAUUAAUUCUAGUUUUUCAAUAAAAUAAAAAAACUUAAGCUUUUAAGGGAAUUACUUGGAUUUUUAUAAGAAUAUCUUGGAGUUUUGCAAAUAAUUUUUUUCUUUCUAAUUUUAUUUUUAAAAAAAUAAAUUUAGUAUUUUUAGUAAAAAGAAAAAACUUUAGUUUUUCAAAUGAAUGUGAAUAACUUAAUUCCUAAUAUAAAGUCAGACUUUUUCAUUUUUAUAAGUAAAUUUUUAAAAAAAAAAAAUUGAUUCAUCAAAAUAAAAAUUUAUUAAAAUUAAAUGAGUAGAAAACAACAUUAAAUUAACGACUAAAAAUAGUUUUUAAGGAAUGUCUAAAAUACAAACUUUAUUCGAUGCUGAAAAUAAAAAUUUAUAGAAGUGGAAUUAAGUUGACCCUAAAAAUCUGUUUGGACAGCAACUAAAUAAAAUGUGAGGAGCAUUUUAAUUUUGAACUUAUCUUUGUACGUGUGAGGACCGAAAGUUGACCAAAGAAAAAUAGAAAAACGUGUGAGGACCAUAAAGUUAUGUUUUUCAAAAAUAUCUUAUGCUUAGCAGAAUGGAUAUUACUAAUUUUUGUUUUUUAAUAUAUUCUUUUAGCAAAUAAAUAGCAUUCUUUUUUUCUUUUUUCUUUUUUUAAGUGCAAGGAAAGUGGCAUUUUUUUUAAGGAAUGGGGUUAUAAACAAAGGAGCCCAAAAUAAUUAAAUGCAGGAGGGAGAAGCAGAAGCUAUCAAAAGCAGAGGAAUUUUUAUAUUGGAUAAAAAUUUAAUUAUAAAAGGUUUUUAUGUUAGGUACUUAAAUAAAAAAUUCCCAAUUUAAUUGACUACUAUUAUUAAAAAAAUCACGUAACAGUUAAAAAAUCGAUAUAUCAAUAAAUUUAGCUUCAAUUUUUACAUAUAAUAUUAAUUUAGUCAUAAUUUUUUAAAAACUAAUUUUCAAAAUUUACAAAUAUUCACAAUUUAUCUUAAUUCUAAAAAAUUUAAAUAUAUAUAAAAAAAUAUGUUAAAAAUAUAAUGAUAAAUUUAAAUUUUAUAUUAACAUUUAUAUUUAUAUUAAAAAAAUAAAAUUAUAUUUAUAUUAAACAAAAUAAAAAUCCCCUACCACUGUCCCGGUCCCCCCUCAUCCCACCCCCGUCCCUCUGCCCCUCCCCCUCCCUUCCCCCACCACCGCACAUCGCUUCUCUAACCAGACCUGAUUACAAAAUAAAAUAAAAUAAAAAAAUCAAAUUCAACAUCUAAACACACACGCACACACGAGCCAUCCAGUAUUAACAUUCAAGAAAGGCAGUUGGAUCAAAUUGAAUUUUUACCAAAAAGGAAGUGAAAAAAGAAAAAAAAAGAAAAGAAAAAGAAGAAAGGCACCAAACCCAAGAAUAACAGAAUAGCCAAAGCCUUGAUUCAGCACUACUUUGCCUUACACACCCUAUACUUUCUUCGACAUCAUAGUACUUGUCUGAAAACUCAAAGGGAGAACAUUUUGGCUCAUCUGAAAACCCAAAGGGAGGACAUUUUUGGCUCAUACUUUGAUAUUAUUUUUCUCCUUUAUAUUUCCUUCAGGUAUCUGAAUAUUUAUUGAGUAGAAAUACGAUAGAUCCAACUUUUAGCGUUAUCAUACAGCAGCACAGGGAUGGAUCCUCCGCGCCCCUCUUGAAGUUUUAAGAUUUUUAAAUUCUAUAUAAAUUAUCAUGUAUUUUAGAUUUAGUAUUCACAUCGUAUAACAUUUGCACCCUUUGGUCAAAUUGUAAUUCAUAUAAAUAGGAGAUAUUGAGGCAUUUCAUAUCGUGAAGUUGAUUAACAGUGGUGAGCUUGAAACUAACAAAACGAAAAAUUAAGAGGUACUCUCCAACGUCCAGGCGAUACCCAUUAGGGAUCUUAUUUAGCUUCUCUUAAUAGCUUAACGAAUAUGCUCGAUUUCACCUGUGUUGUAUUACAAGAUAUCAUCAAUUCCGACAACCUUACUCAAAAGAGUGAAGCUGCUGGAAUAUAUGAUGCAAUGACAUCCACUGAAUUUGUUUUCAUCUUGCAUUUUUAUGAUUGAGAUGCUUGGAAUCACUAACGAUCUCUGCCAAGCAUUACAGUAUAAAUCGCAGGAUAUACUAAAUGCGAUGUAGCUGGUGUCAUCAACUAAAACGCGUAACACCUCAAAUCCAACUUUAAUAAAUAAAACUUAAACAUUCCAAGCCAUUAAAACAUCAUAAACACCCAUCCAAACCAAUCAUUUGAAAAACAACGGAAAUCCAGAAAACAAGUACAUAAUAACAUAAAUUCAGACAACCAUUAAAGAAGUUCAAACAAAGAUGAUCGAGAUCCCACUACAACAAGCCGCCUAAGUCGGUGGGUUACCUGAAAUUUAGUCAAACAGACAAGAUGAGUUUAACUCAAUGUGUGUAACUCACGCAUUAAAUCAACCAAAAUUAUUUAUAUAUGUAUAUAUAAGUUAAGUGUUCAAUUCCUCUUUAGUCAGAAUGUUGUCAAAUUCGAAUACAGAGUCAAAUAUAGAUGAUAUUCAGUAUAGUUACAGACCGAAUCAGAUACAUAUUCAGAACAGAUCAAAUAUAUAUGUAGAUUCCUAUCCUCAUCUGCUACACACCAUCUCCAACCGUCCAACACACCAUAUAGGGUAUCAAGUAUCUAUCCAGCCCUACACACCAUUUAGUGUCGGUCUGACACAUUUCAAAGAUAUUGCAGACUAGUUGCCAAAUCAAAUCGCGAUUUGUGGCUUAGCCACUAAAACCAGCAGAUUAUUAAACUGCCCUUACUUCUUCUUUUACACAAUCUCAACCCAAUGUACAUGCAGAUUUAACAGACAUCAUACAAACGUAUAUAGUGAUACCAAUCCAUAUCAUAAUCAUGCAAUGUUGUUGCACUUGUCAGAUUUUGAGUCAAUAUAUGUAUGUAAACAACAGAUUAUUCAAUAACAGAUCAUCAAAAAACAAAUUUUAUUACCUAAAAUAGAUCAUACAGAUCCUACGGUAGCCCUACAUUCGAUUAGAAUGAUGUUUACAGCCCUAACAAAAAAUCCUGAAUUUUGGCUUACACGUCCGUGUGGAUUCACACUGCCUAGCACACGCUCGUGUGCCUCAAAAUAGUGAGUUACACGGUCUGGACACACACUCAUGUCUCUGGCCCAUGUGUCCCUAGUUCCAAAACAGUGAGUUACACUGCCUGGACACACGCCCAUGUCUCUAUUUCGUGUGCCUCUAAUUCCAAAAUAGUGAGUUACACGGCCUACCACACGGCUGUGUGGCAUCGACAACCAUGCUUUUCAGCCUCUUUUGUUCGUAAGAUUUCGGGUUUUAGUUACACACCUAAUACGUUUUUGUCAUAGAAGAACCAGAGAAGACCCCGAAACUUAAAAAGAACAACCAAUUGUCCCAUCCAAAGAAAUUAACCGAGUCAAAAUGCUAAAUUAACCAGUAAUUCAAAUUACGUUGAAAACUUUGACGCAAAAAUUUCAAAAUGAAAAUUAUUUGUUUACCGACAGACAAUAGCAACUAAUCGAAACUAAUGCGUUGGAGGAAUGCUCCCCUCGAGAUCCUCACCUAAAAUAACAAACCAAUUGAACGAUUAACGGAGAACUCGGAACAAUUGGCAGUAUUAUUCAACCAUAAUAAAAGUAGGAGAAAUUUAGUAAAAACAGAGGAAACAACGACAACGACAAACGUAAACUCUUCGGUUAUACUCGUUGCAAGCUACAAAGUUAAGCAAAAAGAAAAACAAUAGAGGAAAAGGGAAACAAUUCGAUAAUUUAAAAUAACUAUUUUUUCUUAUAAAUUAGUAAAGACAAUGUGUUCCCAUCCCACUUACGCAGAGACUCAAACACAAGACCACAUAAUAUACAAAAGCUUAACCAUUAAACCACUAGGUUCAUUCUUAAUACAAGUUAACGCAGAAUUAAACUUAAGUUGAGAGUUCAAGGAUUCAAGAAGGGAGACUCGAACCUCCUCUCUCAAACACAAAAACAAAAUACUUAACCACAGAUAUAGAGACUUAAUUAUUGACGAAAUUUAUCAAACAGAUGUUCAAAAUUUGGGGCGUUACAAAAUGCUUCUCCAGAAAUUCAAAGAACAUGGGUGGGAUCCUUUGUUUGAGAAAGUAAAGUUAUUUUGUAAAAAUCAUGAGAUGGAAGUCCUCAACAUCAAUUCAUUGCUAACAGAAAUAAAUUCUCACUUUACUGAUAAGGUAGUGAAGUUACUUGUUUUUAGCUUCGCUUUGGAUCCACGCGACAAUUACAAAGCUUUUCGAGUGGAAAAUAUCUGCAAGGUUAUGAAUUAUUUUUAUCCGGUCAAUUUUACAUAGCAAAAAAAGCUACAGAUGAACAUUCAAAUGGAGCAUUUUCAUCUUGAUGCUCAUCAAAACACGAAGUUGCGAAAAACUUCUACAGUUGCCGAGUUGUGUUAAGUGCUAGCUAACGCAAAUAAGUCAAGUAUUUAUCCUUUUCUUGAUAGAAUUAUUCGUCUUGUGCUAACUCUUCCCAUGUCUACUGCAACAAUAAAACAAAUAUUUUCAGCCAUGAAAAUUAUGAAGACAAGGCUUUGCAAUAGAAUGGAGGAUGAUUUUCUUUCAACUUACUUGGUGGCAUACAUGGAAAAAAAAGAUUGCUAGAGAAUUUUCAACAGAUUCUAUCAUUGAUGAGUUCGAUCUUAUGAAGUGGAUGGUGCAAGUUAGGAUGCCUAGUAUUGAGAAAUAGGAUUAAGACGAAGUUUUUUUUAAUUAAAUUUUUGGAAUUAUAAUAAUAUUUAUGAGAUUUUUAGUAUAGUAUUAGUUUUUGUUUUUUGCAUAUUGGAAAGAGAUAUUUAAUUUGAUAUAGUGUGAUUUUUUUUCUUUUAAUUUUUUUACAGUUAAAUUCAGAUUUUGAAGUUCUGCCCCCUUUGGAGUAAAAUCAUGGAUUCGUCCCUGCAACAACAGCAACAGAACAGAGAGGGAGAGGGACGGUGGUAGGGGAGGGAUGGAGGAAUUUUAUUUUAUUUAAUAUUAAUAUAAUUUUUUAUUUUUUGUUUAAUUUUUUUGAAUUUUUAUUUUAUAUAUUUCUUUGAAUUUUUUAGAAUUAAGAUCAAAUUAAGAACAUUUGUAAAUAUUGAAGACUAAUUUUUUAAAAUUAUGACUAAAUCAAUAUAAAAUGUAAAAGUUGAGAGCUAAAUUUUUUAUUUUACUAAUUUUUAUAACUAUCAUGUCAGCUUGUUGUUUGUAAUUUUAACAAGAAUGAGCAAAAUGAUCGAACCAUCUAACGUUGGUGGUUAAAUUUCAAAUUUUUUAUUUUAGGUUCCCAAAAUGAAAUUUUUUAUAUAGUUAACUAACUAUCUAUGUAACUUACCCUUUCAAAUUUUAGUGCUCCAUGAUAACUCCCUAACAAGAUACUGACUCAUCUUUUUUUAUUUGCAUAUAAUAAAUUUAACUUUUAAUAUUUACAUAUCUUUUCAAUUUGGUGGUGAUUAAAAAAAGUUAAAAAUAUUAAAAAAGUACAUAAAAGUAUAUAAAAAUUUAAAAGUUGAAAAGAUUAAAAAAACAAAAAUAAAAAAGUAGUAAAAAUAAUGAUGUAAAAAAUAGAAUAAAUAGAAUACAAUACUCAUAUUACUUCAUCACCAUGCUCUCUCUCACCCAUUCUCAACUUCUAAAAUCUCCUCUGAAACUUCACUCAAAUCUUGGGGGUUAAUUUUUAAUGUUUUCGCCUGAAGAAAUCCUCCACCACGAUUUUUAGUCCAAGGAAAUAUUGCGAAAUUAAGCUUGAGGCAAAAUCAAUUACUUUCAACAUCAUUAAUGUUUUUCAUCGAGGACUAUAGAAUAACAUUAAAGAUUCCAAAUUAAACAACAAAUGUACUAGAAUUAUAAUUUGUCACAAAUACAAAAAGCUACAAACAUGUUAGAUACAAGUGUUAGAAAAUAACAAAAGUUUGUAUUGUCUAAGAAAAUUUUAUUUUGAAUUGCACAAGUUAGUGAAAUGGAGAGGAAAACUCAAAUAAUCAAAAACGGUGAACUUCCUAUUUGAAGUAAAUGUAAGAGUUUAAUGAAAUUAUUGAUCGAAUUUUAGCUUGAUUAGUAUCGGUAUUGUUAUCAAUGUAAAAAGAUGUGAGUUCAAGUGCAUUGAAGCUCAUUAUCCUCCUAUUUAAGAGUUGAAAAGGAAAUUAUAAAUAGUUCUAAGUAUUGUAUUAAAACUUAAAAGAACAAUCAUAAUGCUACAGUUAUAUAAAAGAAAAUAAAUAAAUAAAAUAACUUAACGGCUUUAAAACCCUUUUUAACAAAUACAAUAAUUAUUUAGAUUUCCUUUUUAAUCAUCAUUCUUUGUUUUUGAUGCAUUGAUUACAAAGGAUUUGGAUGGAAAAGCUUGGAUUUUGGAGGGUUCGGCCAUGGAAACGAAGGUAGGAUUGUGCCUGAUGGAACGAGGUGGAAUUAAGGUUUGGAAGUGGGGUUGCUCUAGCAGAGGAAGAGCAGGAGGUUUGACCGAAGUUGCGCUAAUGAAAAUGAGCUAAAAGAUGAAAUGAUGAAAUUACAUUAUACAAGUUAAAUUAUAGUUCAAGUUUUUGUUGUGGUGUAUUAGAAUCUACUCUUCAUAUUUUUAUUUUUAAAAUUUUAAUCUAUUUAUUUCUUAAAUUUAAAAAUUCAACUUCAUUAAUAUACUCUUUCUAUUAAAUUCAUUCAAAUGAUUUUUAAUUUUUUUUAAUUACUCACAUGAUAAUAAUGUAAAAAAAAACUUUGCGAUGAAUGUAAAUUUAAUUGAUAAAUAUAAUGAUGUUAACAACUCUUAAAAAUUUCAUGUCAUUUUAAUCAAAAUAAAAUAUUUUGACUAAUCAAUGACUUUAUAAAAGUUGAGAUAUCAAAUUAUGUCAGGAAGUUUAAGUAUAAUAAUUAAAUCUUAAAUUUGAGUUGGGACCAAGAUUGAAACUUGACCAUUAUUAUAUAAUUUAUAGAAAAAAUGUGAUGUCACGCCACGAUACUAAUCGUCUUUUUUUUUUUGCUAAGACAUUUAUAAUUAGUUGAAAAACCUUUACUCUUUCAAUUACAAAUAAUUUUUUUUUUAUUAUAAGACACUUGUCAGCAUACAAAGAAUAUGAUGGUAAAAUAAUAAGAUAGUUAUCACAUAUAAGUAUGUUGAUGUAAAUUAUUUGGACUAAUUAAUGCUAUUGUAAAAUUAAAGGACCAAAUUAUGUAAAAUAUAAAUAUUGAAUAUCAUAUGUGAGCAUAGUAAAGAAAUCAUAACUGUAAUUUUAUCAUUAUUUUAUAAUGACUAAAAAAGGGCAAAAAAUCAUGUUAUUAGUUAAUCUAAAUAAUUAGCACUGUUAAUAAUUUUUGUAGCUCAUGUGGAUUUUUUUUAAAAAGACUUAUUCCAACAUAUCAUGCCAAAAUAUAUUUUUGUGUUAGAAUAGUAUUUUGUUUAAAAAAAUUCAUGUCAAAAAUUUUAUCAGAGUAAUCAAUAUUAAUUAUUUUGACUAAACAUUAUAAAAAAAAGACCAAAAUUAUUGUUGAAACUCAAGUAUAAAUAUUAAAUUUUAAUUUUGACCAAUUUUCUGUAAAAAAAGAAGAAGUUGAGAACAUGUCAAUUAGAACCUUCCUUUUAUAUAUAGUAGUAUAGAUAAAAAAAGAAAAAAAAAAGUUAUAUGAAUAUUUUAUUAAUAUCUUGCUUUAAGAAAUUUAUAAAUCUUAUAUUUAUCAGAGAAGAAGAGAAAACCAAAACAACCACGGGAAGGGACCUUCAACAACCCUCAAAACAGUUAUAUUGUGAAAAUGCAGUUGUGUUUUAGAAAAACCUUUGUUUGCGUAUAAAUUGUCAUUUUUAAAGAAAAGUGUUUUGCUGAAGCAUGCAAUUCAUCAAACAUAUAAAACCAAAACCAAUACAAUAAAGUCCGGAAAGUCUCAAAAAUUACAAACUCUCAAAAUGAAUACCAAAAACACAAAUAAACCCAUAAGUUGCUAAGUUUAAAUAAUUUACGGUUGUGUAGUCACCAUUGAGUCCCUACCGCACCGAUCCGCCUAAGCCUGUGGAUUACCUGACAAAAUAGACAACGGAUGUGAGUUUACGAAAACUAAGUGUGUAACCCAUCAGAAUUAAGCAUACAAGCAUAUAGAAUUAUAUACACGUCAGAAACAGAUGCAGUUCCAAAUUCAAAAUCAGAUCCAAAUCCAAAUUACAGAUACAGAUAUGUAUAAAUCCUACUCCUAUCCUUUACACACCAUCUCUGACAAUCCCAUCACACAAUGUGGGGUUUAAAACACACACUCAUCCCUACACACCACAUUGUGCCCUUAAGACACAUAUCAGAAUAUAUGCAGCCAACUUGCCAGAAUUUAGGCGAUUAACGCCGAACAUAAUACUUCCUCCAUACAUAUAAAUCCCACCCCAAUAACAGAUACAGAAAUCAGAUACAGAAUAACAGACUAAACAUGCUCAACAUGCUUACAUACAGAUAACAUAAUAAUCAAACAUGCAUAGCAUUAUCAUACCCAGAACAGAAUAUUAGACUAUCAGAUCCACAGUUUUAGGGUUUGGUUAGCCCUUAGUAACCCUAAGGUAGGCCCAUAGUCAAUCGGAGCGACCCGUGCGACCUAGGGAAAAUUUCAUAAAAAUGGGCCCACACGCCUAGAUUUGGCCUUACUCGUGUGGCCCACACGACUUGGCCCAAAACCCACACGCCCAACUUGGCCUAGCCCCUGUGGCCCACAUGGCCACACUUACGUCACGACACGGCCAUGUGCUGCGUACAGCCAUGCCUUUGUCGAACUGUAACACCUUGAAAAUUUUUACAGUAAGAUAUUAUCCUUAAUAUAAUAAAAUAAGGAAAUAAAGUGACAAGAAGAGGAAAAUUGAGUUAUGUCACUGGGAAGUAUAUUAUGACAUAUUGAUUCAAGAAAGGACUAAAUUGUAAAAGUGAGAAAAGUUUUGUGGCCCAAGAGUAAAUACCCAAAAUUUGAAGGAUUAAAGUGUAAAUAUGAAAAAUUUGAAGGACUAAUAGUAAAAAUAUUUUAAGGGUGGAAUGAUCUAGAAACCAAGGAAAUAUUGAUGAAUUAGGACCAAAUGGAAUAAGUGAAGAAUUAUGAGGGACUAAAUUGUAAUUUUACCAAAUUAAGUGAUGACUCAAGAAUGAAAUUUUAAAAGAUCACAAAGGGAAAAAUGGUCAAUUGGAAGAGAGAGAAAUCUAGAAAGUAAUGAUGAUGAUUGAUGAUAUUUUAUAAUUAUUUAAUUAGAAAAAUAUUAUUUUAUUAAUAUUUAAUAAGAUAUUUAUUAUUAUUUUAUUAUUUUAUUUAGUAUAUAUGUGUGUGUGUGUGUGUGUGUGGAAAGAAAAAAAAAAGAGAGGGAACAACACCAUCCAUUUCCGUGCAUCCCACGUUAGAAAGAAAAGAGAAGAAGAAACUUUUCUUUCUUUACAAUUUAGUCCUUUCACCAAAAAUCCAUCAUUUUCACCUAGAAAUCAAAAGAAUUUCCAUAGCCAUCAAGAGAGAAAGAUCACAAGGAGACUAUGGGGAGCUAGAAUAUUAAGUUAGAUUCAAGAAAUAAAAGCUGUAGGAGAGAGAAAAUCAAGUUAAAGAUUGAAAUCAAUGGAAGGAGGUAAGAAUAUCAAGAUUUCAAUAUAUUUUUAAGAUUAAUAUUAUUGAAAAAGCAUGGAAUUGAUGUUAAUGUAGAGUUUUAUUAUAUAUGGUCUUGUGUUCUUGAUAUGUUAGUGAAGAGAAAAUAAGAGAAAGUAAUGAGAAAUAGUGUAGAGAAAGAAAAUAAGGGUGUUAUAAACAUGGUAAAUAAACAUCUUGCACUAAAACAGUUUUGGACAACAGCAGUAGACUAACUUUGAAAAAUCACCAUAAAUUGUGGAAAUCGAAUUAGAGGAUGAAAAAGAUAUGGAAUUAAAACUUAUUGAGUCCAGUUUCUUAUAGAAGAAACAGUGUAAGCAAUGAAAUUGUGAAUUGUGAGAUAUAAUAAAUUUAGUGAGACAAGGUCAGAAUGAUUUCGGGUUCCCCUCUUCUGAUUUUAGAAAAUCAUCAAAAAUUGGAGAAAAAUAAUUAGUUCUUAAAGUUAUAUGUUUAAAAUAAUGAAUGAGUAAAUUUUAAAUAUAAAUAAACAAUAACAUCAUCCAAAUUAAUUUUUAGAAAAGAAGGGUCGAAACUGUCAGAAAGCAGAAUAAGGGUGACUUUAAAGAAUAAAAUGUACUUAUUGGCUAAACCAAAAAUUCUAAAAAUUUUAUGGUAAGAAUAUACGUAAGUCAUGUUUCAUGGAAAAUUAGUAGAUCUUAAUUUGGAGUUAUUUAGCCUAAUAUAUAAAUAAUUUAGUGGCUAUGAUGCAAAUGGACAGUUUUGAAUAUACAUAUAAGUAAAUAGUAAAAUUAUUGAUAAUGUUACUUGUAGCAUGUCAUAUAAAUUAAGGAUGUGGAAUGGAGAGGAGGAGGAGGAAAAUAUGUAUGAAUAUUCAGCUAGCAUGGCUAAUUUGCAUGUUUUAGGCUCAGGGACUAAAUUGAAUAAAAGCAAAACUUUAUGGGUAAUUUUGUAAAAAUGUUAGAAAUGACCAAUUUGUAUGAAAUGAAUUAUUUUAUUAUUUAAAAUUGCAAAAUUGAAUGAAAUUAUUAAUUUAGUUCAAGAUCGGGAAAAAACAUGUUUUAAGGAUUUAAUUGAAAAGUGUUGAAAUUAUGGAAAAUUCUGAUAUUUUAUAGAAUUCAUGGGUUUUUAUCAAUUUGUAUGAGAAUAAUGGCUGAAAAUAAGGAUUAAAUUGCAAGAAUUUUAUUUUUUUAGCCUAAGGAUGAAAUCGUCAUUAAUUAAAAGUUUAAGGGUAAAAUUAUAAUUUUGUUUAGAGCAUUAAUUGAAUGUAUUAGAACAUGAAAUAAAUGAAAACAACGAUCAAAAUUAUUUAUAAAGAUCCGGAUGACUUGAAUACGAGACUUGAACGUGGAAAAGAAAAGAUAUCGGAUUAAUGAAAUUAUAAACAUGAACAAGCAACGAGGUAAGUUAGUGUAACUUGAAUUGUAUAUUUAAAUGCAUGAAAUAUCGAUAUAAUGAAUUAUCUGAUUUAUGUUUAUGAAGAAAUGGCAAGAGAAUGAUAUUUAUCAUGACAUGUAAAUAUGUGAUUAUCUUUGGUACGUUGAUACAAGGAAAUUAAGUAUAUUGAGACGAGUAAUAAAUUUAAGUAAAACAUGUCGAGAAAAAUAAGUACGUUUAAGGGACAAUAUGUUUGAUUUUAAUUGGUUCCAAAUAUGAACGUUAGAUGAAAUAAAAUAUCUGAUAAAUAAAUCGGUAACUCCGGUAAUGCUCCGUAACUCUAUUCCGAUGAUGGAUUCGGGUUAGGGGCGUUACACGAACACACGGCCAUCCACACAGCCAGCCACACGCCCGUUUGGCGUCGACAGUGGCCAUUUUUUACUUUAGUUGAAACUCAAUUUUUCACGUUUUGGAAACACACCUAGUACGUUUUUGAUGCGGAAACACUUUCAAACCUCACAGCACCUAAGAUUGACCAAGAAAGCACUGCACUAGUCGUUUAAAAUCGAACCAAAAACGAGUUAUGCAUCCAUUGAGUAACCAACCCUUACCUUCAAUCGAACAACGAUAAUUCCCAUGGAACUAAGUCCCCGACAAGCGAUUCCGAGCCCCUGAAUUUUCCCCUAAACAACAUAAUGACACCCAUCAAUAACGAAUUAACAAACAAAAACAAAACUACCUUACCCAAACUCAUCGAAUUAAAUUGUGAACGGAAUUGAACAGAAAGGAGCCACAAAUACCACAACUUCGAUCAGUCAACAAAACCCACCAAUUAAUUGGAAAUACUAUUCGACGAAUGGAAAGGAAGACGAAGGAAAGAAGAAAAACACAAAGGGGGAGAGCAACAGAGAAAAAAAAGUCAGUUUAGAGAAAAUAAAAGAAAAUAAAUUCAAAACCAACUUCCCACUAACACCUCAAUCUCAACCACUUCAGAAUUUUAGCUUUACUAAAACACUAACAGUCAACCAAGUAAAAAUAAAUAAACACCCUUACUCUCAUAGGGAUUCGAACAUGAAACCCCCCUCUACAUUUACUCCUUUACCACUCAAACCAACAAGUUUAUUCUAAUAUAAUUUAACAGAAAAUUUUAUAUAAGCCCACUGAAUAAAGAUAAGGCUUGAUUCCAAAAAUCACAAAAUUGCCAAAGGUGAGACUUGAACCCAAAACCUCUCACACACACCCAAAACACUUAACCACUGAAACAAAUACUUAUUUAAGUCAAAUUUUAUAGAAGCAAAAAUAAAUUAAUUAGGAUGUUUAAAUGAGCUUGUGGAUUAUUUGGUAUUUGUAUUAAGUCAAGUCUUAUAUGAAAAAUUGAAUUGACUAUGAUCAUCUCCAUGACCUUUUUUCAUCAUCAUUCUCAUGAAGGGUUGAGAACAGAACAUUUGACCAUGUAGUAUCCACUUGAAUUGUGGAAUAACUUAAAAGAACUAUAUGGUAGGGGUGAGCGUUCGAUCGAAUUGAGUGAAAAAAAUUUGAUUUAAUCCAGUUCAUGAGUCCUAUUUUACCAUCCUAACUCAAUUUGAAAUUUUUUCGAAUCGAGUUGAGUGAAAUUGUUCGAAUUAAAUUUAUAAAAUUAAACAUGCCAAAUAAAAAUAUUGUUACAGUAUAACUAAUUCUAUAUUAGAGCACUUAAAUUUGAAACCAUAUAUAUUUUUUUUAAAAAAUUCAAAGAAUAAUAAUAAUAAAUUGGAAUCAUUACUUAGGUCCCAAAUUUAUUAUUUUAGAAAAUUUUUAAAAUUUUAACUUUUAUAUAUUUUUUAUAAUUUUUCAUAAUUUUAUAAUUUUUUAAAAAUAUAAAUUUUGAGAUUUUUAUAAAUAUUUUGAAUUUUAAAAUUUAUUUUAAAUUUUUGAAAAAAAUUUUGAAUUUUUUUUUUGUAAUUUUUGUUGAAAGAGACCAGUUUGCUUAUUUUCAAAAUUAACAGAGACCAAAACAGUAUUUAACCAAUCUGUCACUCGAAUUAUUCGAAUUGUGAAAUUCAACUCGACUCAAACUCGAAACUUGAAUAGAGUAAAUUGAAAUUCGAAUUCUUUUUUGAAUUUUUUGAAUCGAAUAAAGUUUUACUCACCCUCACUAUAUGGUCAUAAAAAACAAUAAUUUUAUCUCAAGCUUAUUAUGAUUAGAUUCACCUGAAGUUGCAAGAUCUUCUAUCUAAAGCUUUUUAUGAUCAAAUGCACCUAGAGUUGCAAGAUUUUGAAAUUGUGAAUAUAUGGGAGAAUAUUACUAAUGAGAUUUUAUUGGAGUAAACUCUUUCAACUUUUCGUGCUUCAAAUGUACUAUUAAAUAAUGAUUUAUUAAAUGAAAAACCCUAAAGCUCGUCGUAUUAGAUUUGCUUUAUUUCCUGAAGUGAAUAUAGCAAUAUAUAAAUACGUAAUCUUUGACGUGUAUGUAGUAAGUGGCUACAUAAUAAUUGUAAAAGGGAUGGUCAUAAUAAUUUUUCUCACCACUAGAAAUGGAAAAAUGAAGACAAAUAAAAGAACAAGAAUUCCAAAGAUGACCUUUUAAGGAGUAAAGAUAACUUAUCUUAUUGAUGUGGUAUGAAAGAUCAUUGGUUGUGUACCUAUCGUAUGCCAAAAUAUUAAGUAUGAAUUGCAUCCUUUUUUAUGGACUGUGCCACUAAUUACUUAAUUAUUUGAUUUCUUAUUAGUAAUGAGGAGAUAUAGAUAUAAGCAAGAGAACAACAAGAGUUUUUAAUAUAACCCUUCAAAGAAGAGACAUAAUUUACGAAAAGUGUUGGUUAUGUACCUGUCAUACACCUAAAAAAAAAUUUAUUCAAUUACUAUUUCUUAAAGGAAAGAAACAUAUGUCUUGUAGAAAAUACAACAAUGUAUACUAUCCUUAGAGAUAAGAAGUAUUUUUCUUAUUUGGUAAUGAAUUAAUUAAUUUUUAGAGAUACAAAAUUGAUUUAAGGCUCCAAAAGAGUUAAUAUAUUAUUAGCCUAUGUUCAAUGCAAUAAUGGAACAUGUUAACCUUUCAUAGUACAAAAUUAAUUCAAGACUCUAGAAGAAUUAAUACAUUGUUAUCAUAAAAAACAAAACGAUAAUUCAUGUACUAUGUUCUAGUGUCACGGGCCAAAGUUCCAAGCCCGUGACCAUGGCACAAGAUGCACCCCAUAGAGGUCGAUCGAUUAAAUGGGGAUCAUUCAGCCCACAAGAACUAGCCCGAUUCAAAGAAUUGUUGGAGAAGCCUAUCAGAUUGAAGCCUGUGUGGCCCAAUAGCGAAGAUAUGGCAACUUAGGCAAUUUUGGGCAACUAAUCUUAAAAUAUAGAGAGAAUCAUAUCUUGUAAAGAUUAGAUUAGAUUUGAUAAGGCAUAUCUUGUAAAUCCCUUAAAUCAUGAGAUAUCGUUAAUCUCAUCCGUCGAUGGAAAUGUAUCUUGGCCGUCGGUUCUGGGGGAGCUCAACUAUUAAUAGAGAGCCUCCCCAUCAUUUGUAAACCAUCCAUUGUAUGUUGAAUUCUUAAGAGUAAUAGAAUUCUUGGGCAUUUACUCAAACACCUUGUGUGCAUUCUUUCUUUGACUUUCUUUUGCUUACUUAUAACUUUUGUUGGCAUAACCGCUUCCGCUACACAAAUUGGUGCCUUGGAGGAGUUCUUAAGGAAUCUUCAUUUUUGGGUGUAAAGGCUGACUUGGGCGAGUUUGGACGAGUAAAUUGCCUAAGGCCACACGAAUUGCGAGAUGAAAGGUCUAGCCCCGUGGCAAGUGGUAUCAUAGCUAUUGGUUUGAAGGCACUGUUGGGAUGUCAAAAGAAGUUGUUGAUCAGAAUGAUCCAAUGCAGACCCGUGGGAGGGGUAGAAAAACAAGUUGCUCCAGGACAUGCUGUCAGCGUUGGAAGAUCAAGUUGUUAAUCUCGAGGAGUCCGUAAGGAACAUGAAGGAGACGCUUGAGUUGGUCGAGGGACACACAGAUGGGUUUGACUCAAUGAAGGAACAACUUAGAGAUUUUGUGUUGGAUUCUCUCGGUGCCAAUGCAGAAAAGCUGAAUGAGUUAAUGAACUCCACUACGGAAAAGCUGGUAGAGAGGGAUGAGAAUCUGGAGGAAAUGAUGUUAGCCAUGAAGAAAGAAAUCGAAACGCUUAAGGGGGAGCUCACAAUUUACAAAGCUGCUUUGAGUAAUGGGAUGUUGUCUUCAAAGCUGAAGUAACAACCAAUGGAUGUUCCCAAACAGGAGAAGUUCAAAGGUGCAAGGUCCGCAAGAGACGUGGACAACUUCUUGUGAGAAAUGAAGCAAUACUUCCGAGCGAUAGGCAUCGAGGAUGAUGCAAUUAAGGUAAACACUACCUCAAUCUAUUUUACUGAUGUGGCUCUCUUGUGGUGGCGUCGUAGGUCCACGGAUGAGAAAUGUGGAGGGAACGCAAUUGGGACUUGAGAGGAGUUUCAAAGAGAGUUGAAGAAGCAAUUUUACCCACAGUAUGCCGAGAAGGAGGCUCGGGCUAAAUUGCAUCAUCUCACGCAACAAGACAUUGUUCGAGAGUAUGUUCGGGCAUUUAAUGAGUUGAUGCUUCAAAUCUUCGACUUGAGUGAGAAAGAAACAUUCUAUUGGUUAAGCAAGAGUUGCAUAGGCAAGGGAUCACCGAACUUACUGUAGCCAUGGCUGAAGCAGAGUCCUUUGUUGAAUUUGGUCUAAUGAAAGACAAGUUUGAAUCGUCUCAGCCCAUUGGAAAGGGCAAUGGUGAGAGAAACCAUGAGGAAUAUGAAGAGGGACAUAGCGAUGAUGGUCACAGUACUGAUAGCAUAAGUGGCAAUGAAAAACCACGAGAUGCGAAGCGGGGAACUGAUAGCACAAGUGGCAAUGAGAGACCACGAGAUGCGAAGCGGGGAUCCAACAACCCAAGGGACAAGGGGAAGAGAAUAAAAUGUUUCAUUUGUCAAAGAUCACACAUGUUGUAAAAAUAUCUGAAGAGAUCGAUGAUGUGGGCUAUCCAAACGAAAGUUGAGCCGAAAGAAUAGGCGAAGCCUAUAGAGGGAAGAACAUCGAGGGUCGGUUCGAUAGUUCUUAUUCCUAACAAAAGGAAUAAUAGAGAGGGAUUGAUGUUUGUGGACAUCAACAUUGCGGGUCAGAAGCGGAGUGCUCUUAUUGAUACGGGAGCGUCGGACUUGUUCAUAUCAGAAAAGGCUGCCAAGAAGCUUGGUCUAUCAAUUAGGAAAUUGAAUAAGAAGAUCAAGACAGUAAAUUCUGAGGAGGCCCCAACUGUGGAAGUAGCUCGUAAUGUGGAGUUACAAAUCGGCGAAUGGAAAGGCAAGGAAGACUUUGAGGUAAUCCAAUUAGAUGAUUACGAUUAUGUUCUUGGUUUGAACUUCCUUGACAGGAUUCAGACAGUUUUGUUUCCAUGGGCUGAUGAAAUCCAUAUUGUCACUGGUCAGUCAUCAAAGAUUGUUGUGCCAGUGCAUCGGGAUAUGAAGGUUGGGACCAAAGUGUUUUCGUCAAUUCAACUAGUCGAAGAUGUUUCAUAUGGGAGAAGCAUUAACUCGACAGAAUAGAAUGUUACGAAAGCCCCUUCGGAAAAGUUAGUGGAGCGUAAGUCUGAUAUGAAACCUGUAGAGUUGACUGUGGAGGCGCCACCAUUGGGGAAGGUGGAUUGUGCAUCAGACUUCAAGGAGAAAGAAGUAAUGUGAAAGCAAUCGAGAUGAGUGAAUGCCACGAGUAAGGUAUAUUGCAAACACACUAAUAGUGUAUUGAUUUCUGACUUGUUGGCUUGGCAAGAUCGUAGGGGCCCUUUCACAAUUCGUAAGCAAGAAGGCCGAGGGACUGUGGGCAAAACGAAGCUAAGAUGUGAGAAUCGAGGGGAUUCCAAUGGGACCAAUUCAGAAUUGGGGUAAGUUAAAGUGGAGACUUUUUUCCAACGAGAUGUACCCACGAGUGCAACGGUUCAAGUUAAGAGGCGACGGAAGCCGAGGCAAAGGUUCCGAAGAAAGGGACAACCCAAUUGCAAGGCAAGCCGGGAAGAAGCCAAGGCAACGAGAGAGUUUCGAGAUGAAUCAAGUCAGUGCCAUUUGGAAGUCGCAACGAGGGCCUUGCAAGAAUGGGUGGGGGAGAAUGUCACGGGCCAAAGAUCCAAGCCCGUGACCAUGGCACAAAAUACGCUCCAUGGAGGUCGAUCGAUUAGAUGGGGAUCAUUCAUCCCACAAGAACUGGCCCGAUUCAAAGAAUUGUUGGAGAAGCCUGUUAGAUUGAAGCCUGGGUGGCCUAAUAGCGAAGAUAUGGAAACUUAGGCUAUUUUGGGCAACUAAUCUUAAAAGAUAGAGAGAAUCAUAUCUUGUAAAGAUUAGAUUAGAUUUGAUAAGGCAUAUCUUGUAAAUCCCUUAAAUCAUGGGAUAUCGUUAAUCUCGUUCGUCGAUGUAAAUGUAUCUUGACCGUCGGUUUUGGGGGAGCUUAACUAUUAAUAGAGAGCCUCCCCCUCAUUUGUAAACCAUCCAUUGUAUGUUGGAUUCUUAAGAGUAAUAGAAUUCUUGGGCAUUUACUCAAACACCUUGUGUGCAUUCUUUCUUUGGCUUUCUUUUGCUUACUUGUAGCUUCUUUUGGCACAACCGCUUCCGCUAUACAAAUUGGUGCCUUGGAGGAGUUUUUAAGGAAUCCUCAUUUUUGGGUGUAAAGGUUGACUUGGGCGAGUUUGGACGAGCAAAUAGCCUAAGGCCGCACGAAUUGCGAGACGAAAUGUCUAACCCCGUGACACUAGUCAGUUUCAAAUAAAUUAUUUUGUUUUAAAAGGAUAUAUAUUGUAAUGGAUACCAUAUUGAGAUUGUGGAUGAGGAAACAAUUAAUUAAAUCUUUUAUAUUGGGUAAUUUUGUAUUGGGAAACUAUCAUCUUUUCCUCUAAUUGGUACUAAGUAUAUAUUAGUAUGGUUAAAUAAUAUGAGAUGGUAAAUUAGAAAUUUACAUUAGUAUCAUUUAAUCAGGUGCAUAGCAAACUAAAAGUUUACUAGUCUAAAUAUACUAAUUAGUUGGCAUGAUCGGUUAGACCAUCCCGAUCAAUAAUGAUGCGACAAGAUGAGUAUUUACAUGGAUUUUUAUUAAACAACUUGAAGAUUCUUUAUUUUUCAAGUGUUACUUUUUUCUCAAAGAAGACUCUUUAAACCUCACUAGUAAAAGUUGAGAUUGAAUCUCUAGUAUUUCUGAAAGAAAUAUGAGCCCAUUUAUUCGAAAAGUGGAAUGUUUUGAUAUUAUUUUAAUAGUUGCAUCUACAAGAUAAUUACAUAUGAGUUAUCAAAUUGCAUCUUGUAGUUGCGAGAUUACUUGUUUAAUUAUUUGUUUAAGAUCAAAACUUUCAGAUUAUGCAAUCGAGACAACAAUUCUUGCUAAUGUUGGAGAGUUUAUUUCUCAGGCUUUAAAUGAUUAUUGUAUGGUAGAUUGUCAGUGCGGAUAAAACUCACAAAGUUUGUUGGUUAUACAUAUUAAUGAUUUAGUAGGAUUAAUGAUUAAAUUCCUCUAAUUAGUAGUUAAACAAUUACUUUUGAGAACAAAACUUUUUGUAUAUAAGGAUAUUAUAUUUUACAUGAAUCAACAUUUGUACACAUCAUGUCAAUAAGUUGUGACAAGUACUCCCCAUUACAGUUGGUUUUUGGUUAGGACCAAAUACAACUCAAUUUAAGAAUUUUUUAAUGUACGGUAUAUGUUCAAGUUGCUCUACAACAGUAUAUAAAAUGGGUAUUCAAAGAAAGUUAAGAAUAUAUGUUAAUUAUGAACCUUCUUGUAUUAUUAGAUGUUUUAAAUAAAUUGGAGAUUCAAUUAUGAUAUGAUUUGUUAUUACUAUUGGAUUUAAUAGUUUUCUAAACAUUAGGAGAGAAAUAAUAGCUAGAUAAAUAAAUUACUUAAAAUGAAUUAUUAUUAUUUAGAUUCUCAUAAAAAGUGGUUUGGACUAGAAGUUCAAAAAAAUAAUUCACUUUAUUACAAGUUAAUUGUCAAAUGCAUUUAGAAUAACCAAGUGUUGGAGUAAACUAAAAGCAAUGCAUGCCUAAAGCAUAGUAGAUCCAUUGGUUUAAAACAUGAAAAUUAUAGUAAAAGAAAAUAAUAAAUCAAGAUGGUCAAAUAGUGGAAACAAGUGUUCCUAAAGAAACCUAAGACAUAAUUAAUUAUUCAAACUUCAGAAGAGAUUCAGAUACAUGGAUAUGAAAAUGAUGAAAAUAAAGAAAUCUCAAUAAGUUAUGUCAAUACGAGAAAAUAUGAAACCCUAAAAUAGAAAAGUUGUCAAGAACAGCUUUGUAUGCAAUAACAUUAUUGAGAUAAUGAAAGAAAAUGAGAAUUUUGAAUAAAUCUAUCGAGAAAUAUAGACAUAGAAAUCUUCGUUAAAAUGGAAAGACAUCAUUCCAGUAUAAUUAAAUUUGUGAAGUUUCAAGACUAGAAGUAGUUUUGCAAAAAUGAAAUAAGAAAAAUAAAGUUUUUCACUAAAGUCCUAACAUUGAAAAGAUAUUAUUUUGUGGUAGAUGCAAUAACUUUUAUAUUAGUCUGGCAAUUUACAAAAGAUUUGAUAUAUGUCUAAUCAUUGUUGUUAUAGGCUUUCAUAUGUAUCACUAUAUAAUGGAAGUUUAUAUUAAAAUCAUUAAAGGAUUUAGAAUGUUGAAAGCAUACAGAAUUUUCGGAAAACUGUUUAAUACAGUUGUGUAAAUAUUUAUAUGAAUUGAUUUGAAUAUAUAUGAGUGUAGAAUGAUCAUGAUCAAAAUUUGACAUGCUUAUUAUUGGAACUCCUGAAGAGAUCAAAAUAUAUUUUCCUAAAAAUUCUUUUUCACUCAUGACUUCCAGAAAAUGAUGAUAUAAUUAUUCAUCAACUUUAUUCAAGUAAUAAUUCGCAAAAUUACUAUUCAAGAUUGGAAUACGUAGAAGAUGAGAUAUUAUGUGAUAUUUUCAUAAAGGGGAGCAAAUAUGCGUUGUACUAUUUUUCUCCUAAUCGAGGUUUUGUCCCACUAAAUUUUCCUAGUAUAGUUUUUAAUGAGACAGUAUAUUAGGUCUACUAUAGAUAUUUGUAGUCUUUUUCCUUUACUAGGAUAUUUUUUUCCCACGAAGUUUUUAUCUUAAUAAAGUUUUAAUAAGACGCGUUAUCUACCAAUGGAAAUAUAAUGUUAUGAAUAUUUUAUUAUUAUGUAGAUGUCCAUCAAUGUCAGGAUAAGUUCAAUGUACAUUACGACUCUAAUAAUUAUUAAAAGUAGAAUUCUAUUUCAUUUAUGUUUCUUUUGUUUAUAAAUAUAAACUUUAGAGAAACAUUGUAAAAUAUUAUUAAUCAAUAAAAUAUGCACUCCUAUUUUGCUCCAAUUUAUCUUAUUUUUACUUUAUUCUUUUAUUUCAUAAUAAAAAGCAUAUUUUUAAUAUCUUUUAUGCACUUUUUUUAUUUUUAUAGUUUAUUAAUAUUUUAAAUUUUUUUAAUCGUUUUAAGUAAAAUUAAAUUUUCUUGAGCUUUUUUAUGUAUUUUUUAUAAUUUGUUAUUAAAAAAUUAAACUAAAUAUCUAACUAAAGAUAAAAUGAUGAAGAAACAAUUUUUAAAUUAUGUUCCAAAUUUUUGUACUCUGUAUUAACGACUUUCAGAUAUAAAAAUGUUAGUCCAAUUGUCAUUGCAACACCAUUUUACUCAUGUAAAGUUUUUUAUAUUUCAAAUAAUCACACCUGCAAAUUAAAAUUUAGCAAACCACGAUGAAAGUGAAGAAGAAAAUAUAACCAAAAUAAAAACACACCACCUCCGAUUGGUAGUUCACCAAAAAAUCAUUGUCAAGAACACGCAUAUUAGAUACAGCUACUACAAACGAAGAAAAAGAAUAAAAUAGAAAAUAUAAAAAAUAUCCUUGAUGGCCUUUUCAUUUAUAUUUCAUAGUCUACUGAAAGAUACAACAAUAUCACACAAGGUUGAUUGUUUCACAAUCUCUUCACAAUCUCACCCAUACCAUUCCAUUACAUGGGAACAACUGGAAAUGGCAUAUAUAGCAUGUCUAACAGAUACAACAUAAGGCUUUUUUUUGGGUUUUUGAGGGCACAACAUAAGGCUUCCUGAUUGUUCCACAACAGGCAUUUUAACUUAAAGAGAUAAUUACUCGCUCCCCUUCAUUCAACAACUUUGUCACAAUAAAACACAGAGGUACUGUCCCUUCCCUAAUUACAACCAUCUUUUAGCCUCAUUCCACCAACCAACCUCACUGGAACUGCAGACUCCACAAAACUGAAUUCCAGUCAGAUAUGCAUUCAUCACUCACAUUAUUUACAUGCUGAAACCUAUUCUUGAAUGGACCACUUAGAUAUUACAUUUAUAUUAGAUAAAUAGAUGUGUUAGCUAAAUCAUUUUACUGCAAUUUUAGAAACUGCAACAAUUGUAAAGUUAUAAGAUCAAAUCAAC
rnacentral:lncRNA from 1 species